AGAGAAUGAAUUUGUUUAUUGAGUUAUUGUAUAUGCAUUCUGUUCUGUCCGUAUGUUUAUUGAACUGCUUUGGUUUGUCUACUAAUAAUUUGACGUUUCUGCUUAACCCCUGCAUCAUUCUUCUUUGGUUUAUGUGGCUCUGACAAGUUUUCUCCUUUAUUGGUAGUUUUUUUUUUUUUUUUUUUUUUUUCAGUUUUCAUUUUUGUUUGGAAUUGGUUAAAAGUACCAGGUUGUAAUUUUAUCAUCCCUAGUUGAUGCAAAUGGAUUUGAAAGAAAAGAUUUUGACAGUGAUAUAAAUGAUGAAUCAGAAGCAAUCUUAAUGUGAGAUUCUGCUAUGUGUAGGGUUUUUGGUAUCUGAUAGAAUGGCCUCCGAUCUGAAAGCAGAGUUAUCCAAGGAAGCUUUCUUUAAUCUGAAGGUCUGGGAAGUAAUUGGAAUAGCUGUUGCAUUAUUUAUCAUAAUUAUCCUCUCUGUGCUAUCAAUGUGCCUUACUUCACGUAAGAAAUCAAGGAAAGCUAGGGACAAGAUUCCCCUUAGUCAAAUCCCAACUGUCUCAAAAGAAAUUAAGGAAGUUCGAGUGGAGCAAGUAUCUGCAAGUGAAUUUGCUCCUCGUGAUGGAAUUCUUCUCACCAUUCACGACAAAUCCAGUGACAAAGAAUCAGAUAAGAUCAUGCUCCAUUUGGGUAUGGGCAAAUCGAAGAAUGGAGAGAAUAGCAGCCAGUCAGGUUCAUUUAAUCAAUUAGAAAACGAUGGUGGCCUGUACCAAUCUGGAGAAGAAGGGAGUUCCAGCACUGUUACGGUGUAUAAGGCUUCUUCAUCGUAUCCAAUAACUGCCCCGUCUCCUCUAGUUGGCCUGCCUGAAUUCUCUCACUUGGGUUGGGGCCACUGGUUUACAUUGAGGGACCUUGAGCUUGCAACAAAUCGGUUUUCAAAGGAAAAUGUCCUUGGUGAGGGCGGAUAUGGAGUUGUUUACAGGGGAAAUCUCAUCAAUGGGACUCCAGUGGCAGUUAAAAAGAUCCUAAACAACCUGUGAGUUUGCUAAUAUCCCGACUCUAUUGUGGUUUGUCCAUUCACCAUUCUUGUUUCCAUGAAUUUGUCUUAACUUGAACUGUUUUAACGUCUUUAGAGGCCAAGCAGAGAAAGAAUUUAGGGUGGAAGUUGAAGCAAUUGGCCAUGUGCGCCACAAGAAUUUGGUUCGUCUACUGGGAUACUGCGUUGAAGGGACUCAUAGGUACCAUUUUCUUUCAAAGUUUAUUAAGUCUGAUGAACUAACUGAUUGACUCUAUGUUUUGAAUUGUUUUCUUACGAAAAAAUGAAUAUCAAAGUACGUGUAGGUCCCCAUAAAUUAGGUGGAAACAAAGAAGCUUUUGUGGCUUUAAUAUCUGAGAGGUGGAUUGAUCUCUCAGUAUUGAGUAUAUAAUAGCCUACUGCUGUUGAAGUAACACCUGAACUACAAUAGUUGGUCUCAUUUGCAUUUCAAAAUUUCAGAAUUUUGGUCUAUGAGUAUGUCAACAAUGGAAACUUGGAGCAAUGGCUUCAUGGAGCAAUGCGUCAGCAUGGAUAUCUCACUUGGGAAGCACGCAUAAAGGUUCUCCUUGGAACUGCAAAAGCGUAAGUCAAAUCGCUUACAAAUUUUUUUCCAGGUUUUCUAGUUCUCAUUUAAUGGGCUAAUACUUGUCGCAGUCUUGCCUAUUUGCACGAGGCCAUUGAACCAAAAGUGGUACACCGAGACAUUAAAUCUAGCAACAUAUUGAUUGAUGAAGACUUCAAUGCCAAGGUAUCUGAUUUUGGCCUGGCCAAGCUGCUGGGUGCGGGGACAAGUCAUGUGACAACUCGCGUUAUGGGAACCUUUGGGUUAGUAUUAUUUCUUGAGCAUGACCCUUUUGGCCCCUGACCAAUGCUGUUUCUUUCAGUUUUAGAUGCUCAGAAUAAAUCGAUUAAUUGAUGAUAGAGGAUUAAUUAUUUCUCUUGUCCCUGCUUCCCAAAAAACAUUUCAGAUAUGUCGCCCCUGAAUAUGCUAAUACCGGACUUUUGAAUGAAAAGAGCGACGUGUAUAGCUUCGGGGUUUUGCUCUUGGAAGCAAUUACUGGAAGAGACCCUGUGGACUAUGGUCGCCCUGCACAUGAGGUAUGCACAAGUUAUAAAAAUCAAUAGCAAAGAAACUUGAUGCAAGUUCUAACCAUCCUAAAAUACCAGACUCUUGUCAACAUAGAAUCAUAAAGAAGCUUGAUGCAAGUUGGAUUUAUUAUCUGUAUUAAGUAGUGAAUGCCCCUUAAACGAAUGUAUUCAAUAGUGUAUGGUAGACAGUUACCAUUGACAGUUUACAGUCUAAAUCUAGUUAGGAGUGCAGAAUUAUGUAGAGGAUACUCUACAGACAGAAAUGGCAAUAAAGUUAUAAUAUUGCAACUACAAAUGUUCAUUGCGUUAAUUUCUUUAUCUCUAUUCUGUAGAGGAUACUCUACAGACAGAAAUGUCAAUAAAGUUAUAAUUUUGCAACUUUGUGGAGUUUUGUUUGACAUGUAGUUUUAAUGCUCACAGGUAAAUCUGGUCGAUUGGCUAAAAAUGAUGGUUGGAAGCAGAAGGUCUGAAGAAGUCGUAGACCCAAACAUUGAGGUGAGACCAUCAACAAGAGCCCUAAAACGAGCUCUCUUGACUGCUUUGAGGUGUGUUGAUCCAGAUUCUGAAAAAAGACCCAAGAUGGGCCAAGUUGUCCGUAUGCUCGAGUCCGAGGAAUAUCCCAUACCAAGAGAGGUUAGAUUCUCAUUCUAUCUCUGAAACACAAUUUCUGAUGGAUUGCAAUUUGAAUUUAUGUCUGAAGAAGGAUAAUGAAUCUGCAAUACUUUUGAUCUUGUUUGCUUCUGAAUCCCAGGAUGAAAUAUCUGAUUCCAUUUCUAACUAGCCACGUUGCCUCUUACUUUGUCCUUGUUACAUCUGCAUUCUAGACCCUUUUAGCUGUCUCCUGAAUUGGUGUUACCUUUUUUAUAGUGAAUGAAACUCUAGUACUGUCUUGCCUGGAAUAAAUUAUUCAAAAUUUGAUUCAAAUGAACAAAAUAUUUUGUUCAUGCAAAAGAUUUAAUCAAUUGAUUAUCUCAUGCAUUUUAAUUGCUCAAUUUUCUAUCCAAAUCCCUUUCUCUACAACUACCUUUUGUGUUCCCAUGCUCUAAUCCAUUAUGGUGUUGGUCCUCAUAGGAUCCCAGCUGAUUGACAUUUACUGGUCAACCAAUGGCUGGACAUUUGAUUUGAUGAUUUUCAGCUGUCUUUUGAAUAUAAGUUUUCUUCUUGAUGUUCAGGAUCGAAGACACCGAAGAACUGAAGCAGGCAGCAUGGACAUUGAUUCCCAGAAGGAAAAUUCAGAUACUGAUCGGAGUGAUUAUCCGGGUUCAAGAUCAGAAAGCAAAGGCUAUCAGCGGACGUAAUUAAGCCAGUGGUUCAGUUGAGAAUCUCAGAAAUAUAGAAAGUGAGGGUGAUUCUUAAUUUUUUUUCUGCUCCCAAAUUCUUGGGUGUCUGUCUGAUCUGAUGCUAUUAGGGCAGGGGAGAGGGGGUUGAUGGGGGAGAGAGAUGAUCCUUGUGUUCCUUUUUUUGUUCUCCCUUCAUUUUUCCUUUUGUUUCUUUCUGGUAGAUGGAGAGAUAUAUUGUUUGUGUAUCAAAGUGGUGGUGUUUGUGAAAAACCCAAGACAAUGGGGGGCUAUGUACAGAAUGAUUGCUCUUCAAAUUUGUUGGAUGAAAUGCUCCGUUUUUUAAGUUAGAUAAAAAAAUUUUGUUUUUAUGAUUGUGUUAAGAACGCUGCAGCCACGACAAGCUCAGAAAUUAAUAAAAGAACCGACUGUGUUUUAUAAAUAAUGACUCUAAUGAAGUCAACUAGAUGAAUGUUGGUUGAUUCAGUUUCUGGCAUGGACAGAAGUUCAUCUCCAUUAACAUGCUUCAGACUACUACUUUUGACGAACCAAAUUGAAUUGGACAAUUUUGGAUACAAGGUACAGCCUGUUUAAAGGACAUAAGGUAGUGCAAAAUAGACUAAGAGAGCACCAAGGGAAAGAGAUAAAGAAAAGAAAGGAAAAACAUGUCUGAUGUUGCUGUCAACAAUCAUAGCUAUGUAUGAGCUUUUCUGUGGCACCAAGAAAAUGGACAUCUCACUGUGCUUCGAAGGUUGCUUUGGGUUGAACCCAAACAAACCAUCCAAUCAGUACUAGGCUAUAUGCGUAUCCAAGUAGGUUGUACAUCCUGCCCAGGUUAAGGGGACACAGAAUCUUCCAUGAUUUAACACCCUUUCUUUCAUUCUGAGGGCCAUGAAAGGCCAAGGUGAAAAUAGGUACAUGCUCAGGUGGUUGUUUUGGACAGAUGGUAUUUGAUAUAAUUUCCAUUGUCUUGGUUGUCUUCUGGCUUUAAUGUAAAGAGGCAGGCAGCCAACUUAUUUAUUUAUUUAUAUGGUUACUAGAGGCAUAUCAGUAAUUGUUUUUACUUUUCAGAAAGCCCAAGAAGUUGUUUUGUUCUAGUCAGGUGAGUGUUGUGCCUACACUACACUACAUCUCUCAGAUUAGAAAUCUUCUUGACCCUUAUGUUGGUUGACAUCUACAUACAUGUUUGGUUGCAGGGCACUCUUUUUUGAGCAUUUUGCCGCUGAUCACGAUCUUAGCUGCGGUCUGAUGAUUUUAAGGUAUGGAUUAUGCUGUGGGGGAGUAUGUUUAACUUAAUCACUAGGGUUUAGUUUAUGGUUUCUGUGGUUUAUCUUUUUGUUGGUUCCUGAUACUCGAAUAGGGGUCUACUUAACAGAGUUUUACUGCAAUCUUUUUCACAUAAGAACGUGGUAUUUCUGUAAAUGGUAAUUCAUGAUCCAGAGACCCAACAGUACCAAAACUGGAAAUUAGCAACAAAGAGACAAUGACAUAUCAUUGUUAUCAUGCAUAUCUUGCCAAGCAAGACAAUGUUUCUAAAUUAACUUAUCUUUGUUCUGGUCAAAUUGCUAUUGAUAUAAUUAAGUAAUGUCGACGUAGUUCAAUGUUUUUUUUUUCUUGCACAAGAAGGGCAGCGAUCAAGGGCCCCAUGUAUGACCUAUUCUUCCUCUAUAAUCCUAAUUUCCCAAGUAUUCUUCCCUAUUAAGGCUCCAAUAAAUCAGUCAGCUCAAUAUUUUUAUCACAUUGACUUGGACCUAGUGGAUAGCCAACGGAGGAAUAACUACUUUUGAGAUAUGGCAACUUUGAUCUCUGCAAAACUACAUCAUAAAAUGCUUACUUUGCCAGCAAUUAUGCGAUUGAUAUUCGAAUAUAUUGUGUCAGCAUCUGUGUCUUGAUACGUGACAUUUACUACAAAUUGUGUUGUUUGCCUAAAGUAACAUGUUUUCUCACAGAAAGCAUUUUCAAUUUCCUUGGAGACCAAGAAUAAGAAUGAUGCAUCAGCUUACUUCAUCAACCUUUAUAGUCUUAGUAUAUAUAAAUCAACAAUUGAUCUUGCUUAGUUUUUCUUCAAAGUUCUAUCUAACUUAACGACUAUGGCUCAGAUGGUCGGUAGAGAUGAGAUAGAGUCACUAAGAAUUGAGUUGGAAGAGUUUGGAAGAAGCCUUAGGUUAUCAUUUCAGAGUCGCUCCUCCAGUUUCCGAGGCAAUUCAGUAUUGAGUUCUGCCAAAGAUGACUCUGAUGCUCAAUAUGCUGAGCACUGGGCAGCUAUUGAGAGAUUGCCAACAUUUGAACGAUUGAAAUCAUCUUUGUUUGAUCAGGGUGAGGAUGAAAAUGAGGCUGAUGGUGAAGGAAAGCGAGUGGUUGAUGUUACCAAGCUUCGAGCUCUGGAACGACAUCUGUUCAUAGAGAAGCUCAUCAAACACAUUGAGAAUGACAACCUUCGUCUCUUGCGUAAAAUUAGAAAUAGGAUUGACAGGUAAGCCUUUUCUUCUCCUUUGCCUCAUGGUCAUUUAUGUAUAUGUGUAGGAACAUAAAUAUAUAACAACGAUAAAUUCAAAUGGAGUUGAUGCUGCACUUGCAGGCACUAAUUUUAGUGGUAUAUGCCAUUGAUGCCUAGGCAAAGCUUAAAUUUCAGACAAGGAUGUUGCUAUUUAUUGGUUUUUACUUACUAAGAAAAUGGAUGUUGUUCCUAAUUUGUUUUCCAAUUUUCCGACGCAUUGAUGCUUCUCUUUCCCUUUUUUUUCAAUGUUUAUACUCAUAUCAGUUCCUCUGUCCAAGCAUGUGGUAACUGUGAGAACAGGUUCCACCCCAAAACCAAUUGGUCAUGGGGGGAGUAGCCCAACUCCUUAUAAGCCCUUGCUAGGUUUCUCAACUUUCCAAUGUGGGACUCUUUACCUUCACAUUCUCACAGUAACUAAUAUCUUCUUCGGAUUCAUACUUCUUGUAGGGUUGGCGUAGAAUUGCCCACUGUCGAGGUGAGGUAUAAGGAUCUGUUUGUGGAAGCAGUGUGUGAGGUGGUUCAUGGAAAACCCCUCCCAACUCUAUGGAAUUCUGUCAAAAGCAUGCUUUCUGUAAGUACACAUCAUGGCCAAGAGUAGUUUUACAACUCAACCAUUCACAAAGUCAAACCCAUUAUUACUGUACAACAUUUUAUAUAUAAUUUGGAUAUGAUUUUUUUUUUGGCACUUCCAAAUAUGGCAGCUUAUAGGUUAUAUUAUAUGUUCAACCAGAAUUUAUUUAAGAUUUCUGUACAGGUUUUUGCCAAGUUUCCUGGUUUGAAGUCUCGUGAGGCCACGAUAAGCAUUAUUAAAGACUUUAGGGGUACAAUAAAGCCUGGAAGGUAGGCUAGCAUACUUCAGUCUACUAAAUUUACCUAAGCCAAGUUCGUUAGAAUGGUUGUUACCUUGGUGGAUUUCUCGUCUUGGUGCUAAUUGGUUCUGUUGCAGGUUAACUUUACUGCUUGGCCCCCCAGGAUGUGGGAAGACCACCUUUUUAAAGGCGCUAUCAGGGAAUCUGGACAAAUCCCUCAAGGUUUUCUAGUAUAUCUUUAUACUUGCGUAUCUUUGUAAUGAGUGAUGACCCUUUCGAGGACCAAAAACAGCCAUUAGUAAUGUGGAAGUAGUGCGAAGCUGUGACUUGUGAUGCAAAUCUUUGUUUUCCUACUUCAUAGUUGCUUGUUUUGUCUUACUUUUUCUCGAAUAGUGGUCAGGCGAAGUUACCUACAACGGACACAAACUAGGGGAGUUUGUCCCCCAGAAAACUUCAGCUUAUAUAAGCCAACUCGACGUGCACAUUCCUGAGAUGACUGUGAGGGAAACACUUGAUUUUUCAGCCCGCUGUCAGGGUAUUGGAAGCCGAGCUGGUAGGUUUUGUUGAGUUUAAGAUAAUUGCGGUUUAGUUGUAUACAACCUAAUGGUGAAGGACAGUGAUUUUAUGUUUUCUGACUACAAAGAUAUUAUGCUGGAAGUGAGUAAAAGGGAGAAGGAGGCAGGAAUUAUUCCAGAUCCAGAUGUAGAUACCUACAUGAAGGUACUCAAGCUUUACUGAUAUAUUCAUUCCAUGUUUACGAGAUCAUGGUAUCUUGCAGUUUGUGUUCAUCAUCAAGGUUAUGCACCCUAUUGUUGAUUAUGACAGGCAAUUUCUGUUCAAGGACUGAAAAGAACCCUUCAGACAGACUACAUAUUGAAGGUCAUUCGCCUUCAACAGAGUUGAAGUUAAUCUUCUUUCCUAUAAUCCACACAAAUGCUUCUCAGAGUGUUACAAUAUUUGCCAUGGUUUUGCAGAUCCUUGGACUUGAUAUAUGUGCUGACACUCUGGUUGGAGAUGCCAUGAGAAGAGGUAUCUCUGGUGGACAAAAGAAGAGACUGACAACAGGUAAUGCAAAUAGAGACACUGAUAGUUAUAGAAGGUUAUGCAAUGUGCUCAAAUCCAUAACAUUCACUGGUUUUACUGGUUACUAACUUCCAACAUCCACUUUGACCUACCUGGUGUCAAUUAAAACUUUGCAGCGGAGAUGAUCAUUGGUCCCACGAAAGCUUUGUUCAUGGAUGAAAUAACAAAUGGCUUGGACAGUUCCACUGCAUUCCAGAUUGUUGCUUGUCUUCAGCAGCUGGUGCAUAUAACAGAUGCUACUUUACUAGUUUCACUUCUUCAGCCUGCACCGGAGACCUUUGAUCUCUUUGAUGACCUUAUAUUAAUGUCAGAAGGGAAGAUUGUUUAUCAUGGUCCGCGGGAUCAUGUCUUGGAAUUUUUUGAGGAUUGUGGGUUUAAGUGUCCUGAGAGGAAAGGGGUUGCUGAUUUCAUUCAACAGGCAAGUGAAUUGCAGCUUAUGAUGCUUUUAUUUCCAUGCUUUCAUUUUUCAAAUUAAAGCAACAGUUAACAUCUUGGUUCUUCAGGUAAUCUCUAAAAAGGAUCAAUCACACUAUUGGUACCAUGCGGAACCUCACAACUAUGUAUCCAUUGAUAUGUUCUCAAAAAAAUUCAAGACUUCUUCUUUUGGGAAGAAGCUAGAUGAAGAUCUCAUACAGACAGACGAUGAGCCCCAAAACCAUAAGAAUUCUCUUUCCUUUAGUGUGUAUUCUCUUUCUAAAUGGGAACUCUUUAGAGCUUGUGCAUCGAGAGAACUUCUUCUAAUGAGGAGGAAUUCUUUUAUCUAUGUGUUCAAGACAGUUCAGGUCAUCAUUUGUGCUUUUGCAUUUACAAUUCUUAACUCAUUGUUUUGGUGGUAAACACUUUUGUCUGUGUCUAAGGACUUGGGGAUUCUGAAGCAUAAGACAUUUUCACUGCAGCUUAUCACCAUUGCAUUUAUUACGAUGACUGUAUUUUUGAGAACUCGAAUGGAUGUUGAUGUUCUGCAUGGUAACUACUACAUGGGUGCCUUGUUCUUUGCUCUCAUCAUACUUCUCGUCGAUGGAAUUCCUGAGAUGUCAAUGACGCUUCAAAGACUGGAAGUUUUCUACAAACAGAGAGACCUGUGUUUCUACCCAGCUUGGGCUUAUGCAGUUCCUGCAACACUAUUAAAAGUUCCUGUUUCAUUUGUGGAAGCCCUGGUUUGGACUUCUCUUACUUAUUAUGUCAUUGGAUACAGUCCUGAGGCCCAGAGGUGAGUUCAAGUUAAAGGUUUUCUUUUACCACAAGAAAUUCAUAUUCUGAGUUGUGACUCUGAGCCUUCAUCAUCAUCUGUGAUUUUGUUUUAGGUUCUUCUGCCAGUUCUUGCUACUUUUUGCCGUUCACUUAACAUCACUAUCCAUGUUUCGCUUCCUGGCCUCAUUCUUUCAGACUAUGGUUGCCACUAUGACAGCUGGUAGCUUUGCAAUAUUGUUUCUCUUGCUAUUUAGUGGAUUUGUUAUCCAAAAACGUAAGAUUAUUUCCCUCAUUCUCCAGUCAAUUAAAAAAACAAAGCUGAAAGAAUUUUUUUAAUUAGUUAUGUUGUUGCUUGCAGCUUCCAUGCCUGCUUGGUUAGAGUGGGGUUUCUGGGUUUCCCCCCUGACAUAUGGAGAGAUAGGCCUCUCUGUAAAUGAGUUUCUUUCUCCUCGAUGGCAAAAGGUGAGCAUAUCAUUUCAUUAUUAUUAGUUCCCCUAAUUUAAAGCAACUGAGACCAGAAAAGAUUUGAUCUUAUUCUAUGGCAUUUACAAAAAUAAUAAUCAUACUACUCAGACUCAGAGCAAAUAGAUGCUUUUUGCUUUUUAUCUGUAGAUGCUAUCCGCAAACACUACUAUUGGGAGAGAAGUACUUGGAAGCCGUGGGCUAAACUUUGAUGGAUAUCUCUACUGGAUAUCACUUGGUGCCUUAUUUGGGUUUUCAAUAGUUUUCAGCAUCGGAUAUACCUUGUCAUUAAGUUUCUUGAAGUGUAAGCUGAUUUUUCUAUUAUCCUAUUUUAAAUUCAAGAAGUGGUACUUGAAUUGAAACACAUUGAUUCAUCCCAUUUUUAUUCCCACUCAGCUCCAGGAUCAUCUCGUGGUAUCAUUUCACAUGAAAAGCUCUCCCAAAUUCACAGAGCUGAUGACUACCUCAGUGAUGCCAAUGUAGAAAAAAAGUUGACAAAUCAUCCUCCUAAAACCACCAAUAAAGGUUUCGUAAAUUUGUGUUUCUCUUUUUGUUCCUGUUUAUUUGUCACAUUAAUAUUCUGCAGCAAUUUUACAGUUGCCUUUUUCUUCUCAAUUAUCAGGCAGGAUGGUCUUACCUUUUACUCCCUUGACACUGGUGUUCCAAGAUGUGCAAUACUAUGUUAUUCCUUCGGUAACCAUGCAUAUUAAGUAUUCUUUUCCUUAGGGUUCUGGUGGUUGCAGGAUCAAAAGCUUUCCACAUCACAUGAUGUUAAUCUCCUUCUUUCUUGUAUUUGUGUUCCAGGAAACCAGGGAACGUGGAUUUAAUCAGAAAAAACUCCAGCUUCUGAGUGAUGUUACAGGAGCAUUUAGUCCUGGUGUUCUUACAGCAUUGAUGGGUGUCAGUGGAGCUGGGAAAACAACUCUUCUUGAUGUUCUGGCAGGCAGAAAGACUAGUGGAUACACUGAAGGAGACAUAAAGAUUGGUGGGUAUCCCAAGGUUCAAGAAACAUUUGCUAGGAUAUUGGGUUACUGUGAGCAGACCGACGUACAUUCUCCACAAAUCACCGUAGAAGAAUCUCUGAUCUUUUCUGCUUGGCUGCGUCUGGCAUCUCAGAUUGACUCAAAAACAAAAGCUGUAAGACCUAUAUGUAAAGAUAUCCAAUCAAAUUUUGGCUCUGAAUUGAUUAGUGGGAUACUUUUGUUUAAAGCUGCUGGAUUUCUAACAGGAGUUUGUGAAUGAAGUCCUUGAGACCAUUGAGCUUGAUGGGAUAAAAGAUGCCUUGGUUGGCAUACCUGGUGUUAGUGGUCUAUCAACUGAGCAGCGUAAGCGGCUUACAAUUGCUGUGGAGCUUGUUUCAAACCCCUCCAUAAUCUUCAUGGAUGAACCUACAACUGGUUUGGAUGCAAGAGCUGCUGCAAUAGUCAUGCGAGCAGUGAAGAAUGUAGCUAAUACAGGAAGAACAAUUGUAUGCACCAUUCACCAACCAAAUAUCGAUAUAUUUGAGGCAUUUGAUGAGGUAAAACAAAUAGGAUGUUUACAGAUAAAACUUUGAUAUUAGAAUGCAAUUGUCAAACCAAAAAGCUUUUUGUUUGUUAGUAAUUUCUCCUUUGAAUGUAGCUAAUUCUUUUGAAAACUGGAGGACGUAUAAUCUACUCUGGACCAUUGGGCCAGCACUCGAGUAGGGUUAUAGAAUAUUUUCAGGUUAGUCUGCAAUAGUUCUGAUUUCAGAAGUUCUAGCUGCUUUAAGUAAUAUAAAGUUUUUAGCUUAGGUUCUUAAUCUUUUCAUUUAUGAAUUUUCUUGCAGAGUAUUCCUGGUGUUCAUAAAAUUAGAGAUAACUACAAUCCAGCAACGUGGAUGCUUGAGGUCACUUCUACAUCAGCUGAAGCUGAACUUGGUGUUGAUUUUGCCCAAAUAUACAGAAAAUCUUCUUUGCAUGAGUGAGUACAGUUACCGAAAUGAAUAGUCCUGGUGUUGAGUAAUGUCCAAAAAAAAGUUUAUUGUUUAAAACAUAAUGGUAAUGCAGAGGAGCCUCGAGCCUCUAUCACCUAUGAGGAUCAUAAACUAGCAUUGGCAGAAGAUGUGAUCCAUCUGCUUGAUCCCAUCUUUCUAGAAUAGCAGGAGCAUUUAAUGGUCUAAUUAUGACAAGCAGCUGCAAUGUGACUCAUUUCCUACUAUCCCAUUUGCAGGAACAAUAUAGAGCUUGUAAGACAGUUGAGCACCCCACCUCCUGGUUCAAGAGAUCUGUAUUUUUCUACCCGCUUUUCUCAAAAUGGAUGGAUGCAAUUCAAAUCUUGUCUAUGGAAGCAGAACUUGUCUUAUUGGAGGAGUCCUCCGUACAACUUGAUGCGCAUCAUGCAUACGGUUGUAUCAUCCAUAAUUUUUGGGGCAUUAUUUUGGAACCAAGGACAGCAUAUGUAAGCCCUCAUAUCAUGUUAUUUUUGCCACUCAUAUCUAAUUUGUAAGCCCUCAUAUCAUGUCAUUUUCCUUUUCUGUCUUUCAGAACCAACCAGCAAAACUUAUUUAACAUACUUGGUUCAAUGUACGCUGGCGUCCUCUUCUUGGGCAUAAAUAACUGCUCAACAGUUCUGCAAUAUGUUGCAACAGAGAGAACUGUUAUGUAUAGGGAGAAAUUUGCAGGGAUGUACUCUCCAUGGGCUUUUUCACUCGCACAGGUACAAUUUUCUUAGAAGUAUUUAUCCAUGACUUUAAACUGACAACAAACUUCAAUUCAAUAAACCUCUCAAAUUUUGGUAAUUUGUUCCUUACACUAAUCAUUGAUAUCCUCGUAGGUGGCAGUAGAAGUUCCCUACCUAUUUAUCCAGGCAGUCAUAUUUCUGAUCAUCACAUAUCCCAUGAUUGGAUAUUAUGGAUCAGCAUAUAAGGUUUUCUGGUACUUCUAUGCUGUGUUUUGUUCAUUGAUGUACCACAACUACAUGGGAUUGAUGCUCGUGUCGUUGACACCAAACUUCAUGAUAGCAGCAAUUCUAUCGUCGGUGUUCUACACGUUAUACAAUCUGUUUGCCGGUUUUCUGAUUCCUAGACCGGUAAGCCUACUCUUUCUCUGCCGAAACCCAAACCAAUGACCCUUGUCAAGAUUUUUGGAACAAAGUAUUUACAUAGUAAGUAACAUAUAGAAAAUUGACUUGGGAUCCGUUGUUGUUCUUGCAGCAAAUUCCUAAAUGGUGGAUUUGGUUGUAUUACCUGACUCCAACAUCUUGGUCACUACACGGUUUGCUUACUUCACAAUAUGGAGACAUAAACAAGGAGGUUAUAGUAUUUGGGGAAAACAAAACAGUGUCUGACUUCUUAAAGGAUUACUUUGGGUUUCACCAUGAUCAGUUGGCUCUGGUUGCAGUGGUUCUCAUUGCUUUUCCCAUUGCUUUCGCAUCCAUUUUUGCGUUCUGCAUAGGGCGGUUGAACUUCCAGAGGAGGUGAAACCCCCUCUUACCAUAUAUGAGGAAAAUGUCAUAUGCACUAGGUAGCCAUCUUUUUGUAUGUAAACCUGUCGGUAAUAAUGUUCAAAACUAUUAUAGCCCCCUACAAGAUAUGUUUUAAGUUGUAAGUUUGUAAUGUUAGAUAAAUUAUGUUUCUCCUUCCUCUCAGCCAUUUGGAUGGAAUAUUUCUAGGCUCUGAGCCAAAUUAACGAAGGAACAAAAAAUUAAAAUUUUAAGAAAACGAGUGGAUAAAUAAUCAUAAUUUCGUUGUUUACCAAACAAAUGUAUCAAGACAUUGAUGUUGCUUUGCAGCUGAUGCUUUCUUGCGCACAGCAAUCUAAUACAGAAAUCAGUCUUUUUACAUGUUUUCAUCCACUAGACUCAAAAUUCAAUACAUUUUCUUUAAUGUGAUCCAAACAUGCCAAAUGGAAAUAUUUGAAAAGCAAAAAAAUAAGGGAAACACAAUGACAAGCAAGCAAAAGCGAUACUUCUGACUUCGAAAGGAGAUUAUUGACCAACUGCAGGCAGAGAGAGAAGCACAUAUUUUACUCUUGAGGCUUUUCCCACUUCAAGGGCUUCACCACUUCCCAUGAAAAGUCAGGAUCAUCUCUACCAAAGUGUCCAUAAGCAGCUGUUUUCAAAUACCUACCCCUCUUGAGAUCCAAAUUUAUGGCAAUCAUUCCAGGCCUGAAAUCAAAGCUCUCCUUUACUAUUUUCAGAAUCUCCUUGUCCGGAAUCUUUCCGGUGCCAUAACUGUCAACAAACACUGAUAGUGGCUCAGGAACACCGAUGGCAUAUGAGACCUGCACUAUGCACCUGCGAGCAAGACCACUGGCAACAAUGCUCUUAGCAGCCUGCCUAACAAUGUAGGCACCACUCCUGUCUACCUUGGUAGGGUCCUUGCCAGAGAAGGCACCACCACCAUGGGCUCCCCAACCACCAUAGGUGUCAAUGAUGAUUUUGCGGCCAGUGAGACCUGCAUCACCGUGAGGCCCACCGAUGACAAACCGACCUGAUGGGUUAAGAUGGAAAAUAGUCUUCUCAUCUAAGUACUUCUCAGGAACAACAGGCUUAAUGACAUGUUCUUUGAGGUCAGUAGCAAUUUCGUCAUUAGUAACAGUUUCAUCAUGCUGAGUAGAAAUGAGAACAGUGUGGACACGGAUUGGAACCAUAGCCCCAUGGUCAUUGUAGUAUUCAACAGUGACUUGUGUUUUGCCAUCAGGUCUCAACCAUGGCAAGGUCCCAUUCUUGCGAACUUCGGUGAGACGGGCACCAAGCUUGGUAGCAAGGACAUGGCUUAGAGGCAUAAGCUCAGUGGUCUCAUCAGUGGCAUAACCAAACAUGUGACCCUGGUCUCCAGCACCAAUUUCCUCAGGCCUCUUGGUGAGGUGGCCAUGGACACCCUGAGCGAUAUCAGGGCUCUGUUGCUCAAUGUUAACCAAGACCUUGCAGUUGUCAGCAUCAAGGCCAACAUGAUCUGAAACAAAUCCAAUCGUACGGCAGGUGUCACGUACAAUUUUCUCAUAGUCCACUUUGGCUUUGGUUGUAAUCUCUCCAAAGACCAUGACCAUGUUGGUCUUGGUGCAAGUCUCACAGGCAACUUUGCUGUCGGGAUCUUGCUCAAGGCAGGCAUCAAGCACUGCAUCAGAAAUCUGAUCACAGAGUUUAUCAGGGUGUCCCUCAUUCACAGACUCAGAAGUAAACAGGAAAGUGUCCAUUUUUACAAGCUGAAAACGAACCGAUAUUAGAGUUAGUAAGUACCUCAGCAUAUAAGUCAUCUGUAGCUAAGUGACAUAUAGAGAUGCAAAAGUAAAUGAAUAAUCUAUAUUAAAAGUAUGGGAAGAGAGUUUUCAUAAAAUUUUCCUCCAAAGUAACUACACUAAAGAAAAGGUCAUCAGACAAGCUUCAAUCACACACCCAUUAAAGAAAAAAGCUAAAAACUCUAUCAGGAAGAGAAUCAGUCCUGUUAACCAUAAAUUAUAGAAAAUAUCACAAAUCUGGACUCAGAUCUAGAGAGCUGGAAAGUACCACUCUUCCAGUUCAAGCGAUCAUAGCUAUAGUAAUGUAAGCAAGUAAAAUUUGUCCACAAAAAGUAAAAAUGAAAGCAAGUAAUUGAGUUUGGUGCAAAACUAGGAAAACCAUUUAACCACAUCACAAGACUUUCAAGCAAAGAAACAAGAAUACAAAGUCAGACAGAGCUAUAUCACCAUCCACUCUCAAAUUCUCAACCAAUCACAAAAUUAGGUGCCAAAGACAUUAACUUUUGACUCAUUUCUCUUCUACGAAUAUAUUCAGAUCCAUUCACAUGUCCUCAUUACAAACAAAACAAAGAAAUAUAACUUCAGAAUAAAAUUGCCAAACUGCCAAGUUCAAACUGAGCACUCUGGAAAAUUAUUUAACUCACAAACUAACUUUGCUCAUUUCCACUUAAACUUGAAACAGAGACUUCAUCACAAACGCAUAUUGAACACAUAACAUAAGAGCACCCAACAACAAUAAUAAGAAAAACCCAGAAACUCAAUCUCAAAGAAAAAAGAACCCAGCUUUGAAAGUUCAAAAACAAUUCAAAAAACAGACAAUUCAAGCCGAGUACAAAGCCAAAUGAAUUGCAGCAAAAUUACAAAUGAAAAACAAGAAAAGCAAAAGCCUUGCAUGGAAUUUUUUGGCUCUUACUCUAGUGCUUACUUAUUAAGCGAAUAUCUGAGUCCCGAGGCUGAGCUUUGCGUGUUCACAGUGUCUUGGUAGGUACCCGAAAGCUGGAAUCUUUGCCACACUGACACACAAGACUCCGGGGCUUUAUUUAUAGACGGAGGAGGGUCUUGUGGCUUAAAUAUACAAUGACAAAUUGGCAAAUUGUCACAUUGACAAAUAUAUUACUUAUUUUUCAUAUAUACUUUUUUCAUCUGUGGGAAUUGACGGUUAAUAUUUGUUUUUAGUUAUGACGUAGAUGGUGGCCGUUGGAUCAGGAUGGAUUGAGGGCUGGGAUUGAAGGGAGUCGGUGGACUAAAGUGACAGACUGUCUGACUUGGUUUUGAUCCUUUACCCAUGGAUGUUUGCAUUUGCAGCCUCUUUUUUGUUUUACACCUAAUUUGGAGAAUUGAUUCAUUAUUUAAUACUAUAUUGUAUGUGCAUGGGGUUGGUGGGUUAUUUUGGGGUUCACCAACUCCGGGAUGUGAAUUUGAGCGAAAACACACAUGCUGAUCAUUAAAAAUUAUGUAAAUUCCAUGACACUCUUUGCAUGCUGCAUGAUUGCUCAUGUUUAUAAAUCACAAUUUGUAUACAAAUUAAUAAGAGGCGCAUUUACAUUAGAAAAAUAAAUUAAUAAAACAAAGAGAGGGGAUUCUAACUUGAUAUUUCUUUCAACAUUAGAAAAAUAAAUUAAUAAAACAAAAUAACAUCAACAUAAUUGAGGACUUGCUUUUAAUUUGAUUAUUAAAUGCGCAAGGAACUAUACCCGCGUGAUAAUUUAAUGUAAAAGCUACUUACUUUGCUUUUAACCUAGGUGGGUAAUUAGGUCUAAUAUUGUAGCCUUAAAGGUGUGGUAUGACAUAGCUUAGUUGCAUAAGAAUCAACAAAACACACAUAUAAUCACACAAAAAAGGGCAUAAAUAAUAAACUUAAUUACAUUUUAAAACUAAUAAGAUCAUGGUCAUGGGUAGGGUUGUAUCAUUAUUCACCAAGUAUUGGAGUCCACGUUGUCUACACAUCAUGCAAAUGCAACUGGUCUCUACCUAACCCCUCCUUUGAUUUACACUAAAGGAAGAAGAACAAGAAAAAAGAUGGCAAUGUUAAGUUGGUUGUUGGGUUAUGGUUGGUCUAAUUUGAGCUGGUUCUUGAAUAUUAGCAGGCAUGAUAUCACAAAAAAAACCAGUUUUUAAUUGUGAUUUUUCUCCACUUCUCUUCUUAUACAUUCCUUUAAUUCAUUCUUUUCUUUUAUUUAAUUCGUUCAUGCAUUUGCUUUCACAAUGAAAAUUAAAUACUGGUUUUUAUUUUGUCUUUUUUAAAGAAGAAAAAAAAAAUAGUGAUUUUGUUGCGUUUCAUGCUGCCGCUGCUCUCACAUCACAUUCUCUCUGUUUCUCAGCUUUGAGUAAUACGACACCAAAGACUGCCGUUUGAUAACUAAAGUUAAAAUACAAAAAGUUAGGUUUUUGCGGUGAGCGUGGAUCGAACACGCGACCUUCAGAUCUUCAGUCUGACGCUCUCCCAACUGAGCUAUCCCCGCAUGCUUGACUUUUAUGAACGUAUAAUACAAUAUAGAUUAUAUCCGUAUGAUCAAAUAUCAAAGGAAAAACAACAUAAAUAAAAUUCUAAAUAAAAUUCUGUAGAUUCACAAAGUACAACCCAACCCCCACCCUCCAGCUGUUUUGGUUUUCAGUUCUUAUGAAGAAACUUAUUUCUUUCACCAUUGAAAAAAAGGGAAAACAACAUCAAUCAAAUAAGUCUCACCUAGAUUCAGAAUAUCAAUGGCAGGAGGGGGAUUAUUUCUUCUAGCUAUACUGCUUAAUGCCAAGACUUGAGAAGUCUUUCUGGGGCUUCCAAAUCUUAUGAUGCCAAAACACUUGGCAAUAUAUAUAUAUAUAUAUAUAUAUAUAUAUUUUUUUUUUUCUGAUUGCUCAUAUUCAACUCAAAUCAUAUGUGCAAUGCAUUCAAAGUGACGCCAUUAAAUGAAUCACAAUAAAAAUCCAGGCAAGUAAAGCCAUUCUUGUCUAACUGUUAAUCACAAUAAGAAACGCUAAUCAUCAGUCUAUUAGGCAUACCCAGAAACAAAAAAGAUCAUGUCUGUUUCAAGGCCACUUCUAAAUAAAAUCUGCUGCCACAACUCCAUUAACAUCUACACUAGUAGCUGCAGAAAACAUACAGACCACAUAUGAAACAGACAAUAGCACAUUCAUACAAAGAGAGAUACUCCAUCUGGUGCCAGCCCUCAUAAUUACAAACUGAUAGUUCACUUGGAUUAGACAAAUUAUCGUUUUAUAUGAUCCCUCAUGGUCAUCUUCACGAGUCUAUGACCACCUCCAUUUUGCCAAACUCCAUGCACUGGCAACCCUUCUGGUGGAUCCUUGUCUCCAUCUUUUUUUUCUUCACAAUCACCAAGUUCUGAAAGUUCAGUAGCAUCAUUACCAAGGCGGUUUCUGAGAAACUUUGGAGUCUUUUUCCGUUGCUUAUUACCUCCUCCCCCAGUUCCCAAAUUUUUAUUUGAGCUGCCACCAGUUGACUGAAAACCAUUUUGACCCGUCAGCAUUUGAUUUCCUGGAAGUACAUCCUCAAUUGAAAUCUUUGAUUUUCCUUUGGCAGAAUGAAUAGCAUCUUUCAAAAAGACUGCUGCAUCUUCUACUGGAGGUUUAUGAUUUGACUGCAAAUUCCGCACAGGGUUGAUAGGACAAUCUGGCAAAGCAUAUUUUGAACUGCUAAUUCCAUUAUCUUCACACUUUUCCUUUCCUUUCUUGGAACUUUUGCUCCUUGACUUGCUGCUGCCAUUACACAAAUUGAUUUCAUGAGAACCACUGCUCUUCAUAUUAAAAUUGUAAGUCUCAACAAGCUCUCUUUGCUUCUCAGCAUCAGGACAGAGUCUAGCUAGCUCAAGAACCAGAUGUGACAGGCCAAACUGGUAGACAUAGGCAAGAUAUUCCUCUGUGUUAAUUAUAUCCUUGCGGUACCCUGCAGAUAUUUCUUUAAAUGCAGAGAAUUUGUUCUCAUCAGAUUCUAAAGCAUCACGGAUUUUUUCCACAAGAGACUUGUUGACAGUGUGUACAUCUCCAACCCUUGGUAAUCUCCGACUACUUGCAGGUUCUUUAUUUGUUUGAGUAGCAGAAACAGAAGGAAAAUCAGAGUUCAAAGAACUACUCUUGAUAAGGUUUGGAGGUGAAGAAGAGUGGGUGACCUUGCUGGUUCCAGUUGAAUUUCUUGAACUAGCAAAAUUGGAUGAUACAAACCCAGUAGUUACAGCUUGUCUAACUGGAGCAGUCUUACUUGGGGAAAAUACAGGAGAGCUAGACGAUGACAUGAGCCCAGAGGCCGAAGAGGGUUUUUUCUGGUGAGAACUACUGGCAGAUGAUUUAGGUUGUCGAUUUGUGGUGGACCAGGAUCGAGAAGAAUUCAGGACUGUUACUUUGUUAAGCCGACGUAUGCGAGAAGCCAUUGUACUACCACUCAAUCCUUCUGAACCAUUUCUAAAUCGCCUGUCACUUUGAGCCACCGGAAGUGGAGGGAAGGCUGAUUCUUGUUGUAGUUCAUUCCGGGAGUUUUCUCUUAAUUCAUGAGAGCAUCUUGAAGAUGGCUCAGAUUCUGCAGUAGCCAAUGACUCAAAAGAACCAACAAUAGUUUCAAGUUCGUUUGUUUCUUGGCGAAUAAAAACUUCUUGGGUACUAGAGGAUGUAUUAUGACACCUUUCCACAGUGGCUGUGUCAAGGCUAGCUUGAAGGGCCAAGGAAAGUUGAUUGUCCGCAGCAUCAAAAUGAGAACCAUGUCCUCUACCAUGAAGUUCUUGCUCAUUACUUCUCCUAAACCGGAAGCUCACUGGUAUCUGCUUUUAAGAAAGAAUAAGCAAGCACACAAUUAAAUCUGUAUCAUAUAAGAUCUAUGAAAAAAUGAGGAUGCAAGUGGAUACAGAAGAUGGCUAUAAAAAACCUAUAAUGGAAUGGACACAACAAGGAAAGUAAGGGGAAAAAAACUAAGAGCAAUAACUGCCACAUCAACUAUAUCACAUACAAACCUGAAGAGCAAUAUUACGCCUAGAGCGAGACAUGUUCCCUCCAUGUUCCUUGGCAUUAUGCCUCUGCAGAUAUAAACUCAAGUGAGCAUAACCUCAACAUAACAUGCAAGAAAAAUCAACUAUAUGUUUGCCUUAUAGUCAAGAACUAACAACAGAAAAGAGAUGGAUAAAGACCAAUUUGAUAUGCACUAAAAUAUCACCUUUAUCUCAGACUCAGUUGCAAAAACAACAAACUUUUUUGUUAGGCAGUCCUCAUCCUUGCAUAAGAAAUGUGCUUGGGAAAAAUGAUUCUGCAAAAUAGGAUGUCAUGUCAACUGAGAAGGCAAUCUCAAUGAUGAAUUUGUACUUGCAAAGCAUGAAUAAUAACCAGUUGGGAACGGAAAAUAAUUUACCUCCAAAUCAUCAUACUUAUUAUAGUAUUCAUACUGUCCUGGAUGCUGCCUGCAUUGAAAAUGGUGGAUGUAAGUUUGCUAAAACUUACCUUCACAUAAACAGAACAGGUUACCUUUGCAUAAACAGAACAUGUUACCUUUGGCACAUAUGGCAAGUAUAAUGGUCGGUAGACAUAUGCAUGUACAGCUCGUUAUCUCCAUAAAAUGGAUUUUUACAAAAAUCACACAUAGGAUGUCCAUUAAAUCCACCUCUUUCAGUCUCACUACCAUCUACCUCUGAAUCACCUGUCUCUGUAUGCCGAUCCAAUUGUGCUUUAGUAUAUAACUUUUGCUCACAGAUAAAUAUCUGUAGUAAAAUUUGAAGUCAGAGACAUCAGGGUGAAAAUACGAAGCAUCAGCAUCAAGGUUCAUGCUUCAUGCUUCCAAAUGAGAGAAGAAUUCAGCAAGAUUUCAGAAAAAAAGUGUAUAAACCCCUAAAGCAUCAAUGUAUAACCAAAAAAUGGAAAAUAUAGCAAUGUUUAUAUGAUAUCUCAUGUCUGUCUUACAAAAGAGUGAUCACUAUUAUAUCAUGUAGUGCGUUAUCAUACAAGAUCUACAGGAAAAAUGCCUAUGCUCAAAGCCUCAGUGUAUCAUUCUCUCAGAAGUACAACAUUAUGAGAUACAACAAUUAUACAUCAUCAUAUAGUGUCAUCUAAAUGUUUCUCACCUUCCUACUCCCCAAACACAGACUGCACAUGAACAGCCCAUGACGAUGGAAUAAAUGAUUUUUCAGCAGCUCAACAUUUUUAAACUCCCCUUUUCUCUUUGACCCUUCACUCCUUAGUUCAUUUAUCUUAUCACAAACGCCACACGAUAGCCUGCACAUGGCCUUUAUCAUCUUGUAGUGAUCAGGAUCAUCAAAAAAUGCUUGUGUUCCUUCAUGAUACCAGUACAGUCCAACUUGACCUUCCAUUGGAUCAGCUGGGAAAACUGAAAAGUCAUUAAUCAUCCUUGUAUAGUUGCCUAAAGCCUGGGGAAAAAGAAAUUGUAGGAGCAAGAAAAAUUUCAAAAAAACAAGAAAAAUAGAAGUAAUUAUACAUACUAACUUGUCAUAUAUUCUAUCAAUAAUUGUACAUCAUUACUCAUCCUCUAUAUUCUUAAUAAGAAACCAUCCUGGGUUGUAUUGGAUCUAACAAGAUAGAUGAAAAAUACAUGUUAAUAUGUCUGACAGUUCAAUUCUACCAAAGCAAAAAUAACAUUUUGCAAUGCCUAACCUUCGUGACAAAGACGAUUCUAGAUUCACUCUUGCAGAUGCAGCAAUGGGAGUCUCCACAUAUGAAACGGAGCCGGAUAAUGCAGGUGGAGCAGACCUCACGAUGGCCACAGGGGCCAUAUGCUACCCAUUGAAGUGUCUCCGCACAAACAGCACAGCUAUCAUCCAUUGUAUCUCUUCUCUCCUCUGCAAAACAGAAUUUAUUGGGUAAAACAUUAGCCGCAAAGCCAAAAAUGACGUCAUUUCCACAAAGAAAAGACAUCAUGUGCUUCCACAAAACAAGAAGAAUAAAGCACCCAAGUACUUGAACAAACAUCCACUCAGCAAGAAACAUCUAUGGUCUGCUUGGAUGAGGAAAAAUAACUCGGAAUUUAAGAGGAUAAAUUGACAAUUCCUUUGUUUGGCAACUUAAGCACGGAAUUUAUUAAAUGACAUGCGGAAAAAAUCGUGGAAAUUGGGGCAUCAAAUUCCCAAGUUUAAUUUCCACCGAAAUAGGUAACAUUUCACAAUUUCCACAAUGUUAUUUACAAAAUUCUGUGGUUUACAAAAUUCGACUUACAUAAAUCCAAACACUGAAAUUUUCAAUUGCCAAAAAUUGAAAUUAUGGAAAUCUAAAUUCUGUCAUUUUAGAAUUCCAUGAAAAUUUCAAUUCCUUCAUCCAAACGGCGACUACAGAAUGGCCUAACAUAUCAAAACAGAUUGUUGAAGCAUCCUUCACAAUGUUCUUAUCUUACAAUUUCCACAAUGUUAUUUACAAAAUUCUGUGGUUUACAAAAUUCGACUUACAUAAAUCCAAACACUGAAAUUUUCAAUUGCCAAAAAUUGAAAUGAUGGAAAUCUAAAUUCUGUCAUUUUAGAAUUCCAUGUAAAUUUCAAUUCCUUCAUCCAAACGGCAAACUACAGAAUGGCCUAACAUAUCAAAACAGAUUGUUGAAGCAUCCUUCACAAUGUUCUUAUCUUACAUGUGCACUGCAAGAGUUUUUUUUUUUUUGCAUACAGAUAGGUACAAAACUAUGAAUGAAUUUGCGUACAAAAAUGACCAAAAUAAAACCCAUUAAUCCCUCAUGCAUAUCAAGCAAAACAAAGAAAAAUUACAACACAUUACUCCUUUACAUACCUAGCUAGAUCACACAUAGUGCUAUAUGAAAAGCUAGACUUACGAAAAAAGCUCUAAGUAACUCAAUCAAACAGUGAGAGAGAUUGAGCUGGGCCGAGGGUUCCUGAGAAGGAAUUUACCAAACAAAUACUGAAGAGUUUGUCGCACAAUCCUUCCGUUUUCUCAGCAAACAAACACGGAUCCAGAUGCAAACGGCAGAGAGUAAAGAAAGACUACUGCAAGUGACGUCGUAUUGGCUAGCGAUGAACAUUCGAUGCACUGUUUUUUCUUUUUUCUUUUUUAUACAUAAAAUAAGCCAAUCUAUGGCCCAGUAUAGCCGCUCGGCUAUACUCUAAAACAUAAUGUUUCAACGGUAUAGCCGCGCGGCUAUACUCGAUAAAUAUAAUAUCUUAACGGUAUAGCCGGGCGGCUAUACGCCAAAAUAUAAUAUCACGUAUAGCCGCGCGGCUAUACUCUAUUCAGAAAUAUAAUAUCUUAAAACGUAUAGCCGGUCGGAUACACACUAAAAAUAGAAUAUUUUACAAGUAUGGCCGCUCGGCUAUACCCUUUAAGUAGCAAAAUAUGAAUUUCUCUCUUUUCUAAUUACUUUAAUUUUAUGCUUUAGUUAUUAUUUUUAGAAUUAAGAAAAGAUAAUAUGGAUAGUUAUGUUCCAUAAAAGUAGGACCUAUUAUCUGAUUUUGUUUUUAAUUUUAAUUUUUUUAAUAUGGAAAAAUAUGAAUUUAUCAUAUUAUCCUUAUUUAAUUAAUAAUUUUAAUUCUUAAUGUUUGAAUUAACCAUGGAAAUUUUCUCUGAUUUUGAAUAUUUCACCAUUCUUUGCCUUUUGCUUUAUAUAUAUAUAGAUUUAAAUAUUAUAUUUUAAAAAAUAGAAAAUUUUAAUUACUAUUUAUUAAGUAAUAUAAUUAUUAAAGUAUUGAAUACUAAUUAUUAACUAAAUAAAUAAUAAUUAAAUUGUAAUUACUGAUUUAACUAAUUAAAUUAGGCAAAUAUAUUAUUUAAUUAAUUAAAAUAAAUUAAAAUUUUUUUAUUAACCUUAACAUACUAAGUUUAUAUUUAUUUAGAAAAAGAAACAGAAAAAACUCUCCCGACAAAAUUUCAUCGGCAGAGGUAACUUUUGUCGGUAGAGGUCUAAUCCGGCAAAAAUUUGCCGUUAUAGACUUGUGCCGACGAAAUGUCGUCGAGAAAGGUUUUUUUAAUAUAAAAUUAGUUUCUUUUACCUUAUUCAAAGAACUACUUCUCACAUUACAGUUGGACCCACUUACUUGUUUAACAUAUUGGCUGGAGGUGGUAUUUUGUUACAUGCUAAAUUGAAAAUUAAGAUCUUACAUUUGUCCAUCUUCCCCAAUAUUUGGAUAUGAACAAAACUACAGAACUAAAACUAUCUUUAUAUUAUAUAUAUUAAUAUUAUAGGAGUUGUAUAUAUACUUUAGCAUGUUUAGAAUUAGCACAAAAGUGUGUGUGGUGGAGUUGGCUUUUUAACACCUAUCCCUUUAAUAGAACGCCCUGGGCUCGAGUCUCAUUGAGUCUUUUCAUAUGUUUAAAAAAAAAAAUUAUUUUUGCAUUAUAACAACAAACUUUAAAUAAUUAUAAAUAAAAACAGUAACACAUUUAUAAAAUAAAAAAUAGGAAACGUCGAACUAAGUAACAUAUUUAUAAAAAACAGUAACACAUUUAUCCCCCCCAAAACGCAAAAAUAGGGGUUUCUCCUCUAAAAAAAGUACUUUCUUCCACUCAAAACAAAACAAAACAAAAAUUUCAUAGCUUCUUCUUUAUCUUAAACUCCGAUUUUCUCGUAAGUACUCAUCAUCAUUCAUCAAUCAUCAAUCUCUCUUUGGUUCUUUUUUCAAUCCUUUGACAAUUUUUGUUAUUCUUUCAAUUUCAAGAAUUUCAAUACCAAAAAGAGAAAACCCUAAUUCCUAAUUCCUAAAUUUUUAUGAAUUUGAUUUUUUAUUGUAAUUACAUGUUUAUUGAUGGUGACUUUUAGUUAUAAAAAAAAAUUGUUUUAUGACAUUAAGUUAUGGUAAAUUCUUUUUUAUAGUAUUUUCAUAUUAGAUUAUGUGAAGCCCCAAUUUAAAUUCCGUACAUGGCCCUCAAAAUCUCAUAAAUGCCCUGCUGCCAAGUCCGACGUCAUCGAAGCGAUUAUCCAAUAGGCCCAAAAGCGCUUGAGUUAGAAAUAAUUCCACACAUCUCGUCAUCUUUAGUUUCAAUGUUCUUCCCAAAAUUUCAAUGAGCUAACCAUAACCAAGCUUUGCAGGAAUUUUCAACUUCCUCUUCUCACUUACACACAUUCCACUUUAGGACGAAAUUAGAGAAAAUGCUCUUCAAUCACGAUCUGGUUAGCGCCAAUGAGAAUUGGGAGGGAAAUGGCUUAGAAGGACGAAAUUGCCAUCAAAAUAGGUUACACGUGAGCCUCACGUGGUUGGGUUUGACGCAAGAUUGGAUGAAAUCUCAUAAAAUCUAAAGGUAUGUGUGAAAUUGACGAUUUUAAUUAAUUCGGAUGCUAAAUUGGCUGACUUUUUAGUUCGAAGAGUUAAGUUCAAUAAGGGUCCUAAUUCGGGGGUCUUUCAGUAAUUUUCUCUAAUGAAAAUGCUAAGAAAAUUAGUAAAGUUCACUCGACUAGAAAGUGUAAUUUGGCCUUUAUUUAUUAAAAAAAGAUUAAAAGUAACUUAACACAAUUCCAUGCACUCAAAUAAUUAGGUAAAGCACAUCUCAGACCCCAAAAUAUUAACAUGGACUAAACAAAAACCACCAUCUCAUAAGUUGACUGUGAGCAGAAAUCCAACAUUCUCAACCUCUCAAAAUAUACUCAACUUGCGAAGAGACUUGUACACAUGAAAUUUAGGUUUAUAUCGUCUCGUAGGAACAAGGGAUCCGCGUUACCAACAAUGCAGUCGGUCACGAGCUUCCUGUCGCGAGGAACAGGGGAUGCAUCAGCCUUGUCGCAAAGAACAGGGGAAGGAGCAGCCAAAUUCCAUGUAUAAUCGUUUUCAAAGCCCACCGCCAACGUGUUCACUGGGAUUUGAGUGUCACAAAGAGGAGGCACAUACGAAUCCGAAACUGCAGUAAAUGUGUAUGAAGAAGGACCAGCCAGCUUCGCAUUCAAAUCUUCAAUAUCACUCAAGGCGCACCAGUUCUCGCCCAACCCGAUGUCAUCAGCCUCAGAAGCAGGAGGAAUGUCUUGUUUGUGAUUCAUGGUAAGCCUAAAAGAAAAACAGAAGGAAAAAUAAAUCAAAGCAUUUAUUCUGACAAAAUAAUAAUAAUAGUAAUAAUAACAAAGCACCUAGCAGUUUAGAUAUUCUCAAUAGCAGACCCAAAAACAAAAACACCACUCUAGAUAUCAUACCAAAAACUCUUUGAGGACGGUUGAAGUUGUUGAAGGGUUUAGACAAGAGAAUUUUCCGAUACUAUGUCAAACAAAAUAUAUGAGAAUUUUGUUUUGAUAUGUAUUGUUCUCAAAUAUGAAGGUAUUUAUAAAGAAGUACAAAAAUGUGUUAACUUUAAAAAAAAUAUAAAAUAUGAAAUAAAUCUCAAUUACAACAGGAUAAUAUAAACGAGUAAGUAAGACAAUGUAAACGGGUAAGUAAUAUAUAAACAGGUAAGUAGGACUAUAAGGAUAGAGGUAUCCUUGUUCGUAAACCUCUCGAGGAAAAUCGUUCUGCUGCCCUCACAAAAACACAUUCCUCACGCUCAUGGCAACUCAUUUUCUUUCUCUCCGGGCACAACUCAACCUCACCCAACAAUCCUUUUCGGUAACCUUUUCCUCUCUAAACUUUCCUCCCUUUCUCUGUGAUCUCAUCUCUAGCUUGUUAUACAAGUUAUAUUCAAAUCCACAGGCGAUGCCUUCCGACUUUUCGUUCUUUCUCUCUGUGUCUAGGGUUUCGAACAAAAAAUCAACAACAUGAUGAAUAGCAACGUCAAUUGUGAGCCUGAGCAUCCAAUUCCAAACAAAACUCUGGCUCUUCGUCGGCGAAGACGAUGAAAAAGGAAGCAAAAUAGUAGAAGUAGAUAUCUUCUCUUUCUGGAGGCCCUUCUCUAGAUCCCAAGGUACCUUCUUCUCUUGUUCUUAUUCGUCAUAUUUUCAUGUAUCAUAUUUAAGAUAAAACUUAAAAACAAAAAUAGAACUUAUGUGAAGAUCAUCUUCCUUGUGUUCUCUGCCUGGGUAAAAGUUUGAUUGGGUGCUAUAUGAAAUCAAUGGCUUAGUCUGAGGGCACCACUAGACCAGUAAAAUCAAACUAUUUCAUCAUUUUGUAAUAAUUUUUCUAGCUAAAUUUCCCAUAUAAGAUAAAUUCCAUUCUCGAGUUUUCUAAAGUAUGACAAAGCCUUGUCGCCUAUGAGCCUUUGCAUAACUGAUGUGCAAGAAGCUUGGCCGGCAGUGGAAUCUGCUUUAGCAGAGUUUGGCAUGGCAUGUGAAUUGGAUAUGGUACAUUAUAACAAAAGUUGUUUAUAAAUCUAUUGAAUUUAUUUUCAUUUUCGUUUUUGCUGCAGUCCCGUAUGUCAAUCAUUUUUUUCCUGGAAACAGAUCUAAGUUAUUAAACUCUAAACCCUAACCGCUUGGCUCCGUGAAGAGUCAAACUAAAGACGUGUCUGUAAUGCUGGGAACAUGCAAAAUCUCUUGUAUGGUGUGCGGGAUGAAAAGACAAGCAGCAAGAACUAAACUCGAUCUACCAACACUUUAUAUAUGCACCUUUUCAGGGAUAGCCAUGAGAAGUUUCUUCACCCAAUAUGUUAAACAAGUAAGUGGGUCCAAAUGUAAUGUGAGAAGUAGCUCUUCGAAUAGGGUAAAGCACGUCUUCCAGCUCAUGCUCAUGGGACAAAGAGAUUACCAAGAAACUAGUGAAAUGAGGUGACUCUUCUUCUUCAUUUAUAGGGCUGCUACAAUAACACACCAUCACAUUUAUCAACCAUAACAUAUAUAGAUAAACUAGUACAACGUGUGGCAGCCAAGUGAGAACCCUAGCUCGGUAGCUACAUCUUCUGCUAGCAUUACAAGAACUUUGAGCUGAUCACCCAGCACGUUGUUCUAGACCCAGCAAUGAACACCCCCACAAACCAGAAAAACACACUAAUUAAGACUACAAAUUAGACCUAAUGAAAGAUUUCAAACAGACCACUAAAACCAGAUACAAGUAGCAGACCUGGUGCAGCUAGCCAAACUAGUCUCUGAGUCAUGGGACUGAGCCACCAGUAGAAAGAACAGCAGGGAUAGUGGGGAGGACUGGGGCACAGCAGGGAGAGUGCCGGGUAGUUGAUCGAUGAGUGUCGGUGAUCUCCAUCAUAGUCACUUGCUUACACUGCGCAGGAGGGUUGCUGCUGUGCUGUGCCCUUUAUCAAACAGAUGAUAGGCAACUCUUGCACAACGCCAUCCAGCUUUUUGCAGAGGUCAACAUAUUUCACUCAGAUGGAGGAUUCCGACAUUGCGGGGGUCAAUUGACCACCUUUGCACUAACGUGGGUCUGCCCCUGGUAGCAUCACUACUGAUCUUCAACUUCUUCUUGCUGCUAACAGCAUCACCAAUUGAUCUUUUCCUAUUUGCCAUAAUUUCAUUGAACUUGGCUUUCAAGUCCCGCUGAGCUUCUUCCAACAGCGCACACAAUGAAUGAAUGACAUCGUCGUGAAUAUUGAUCUGUAUAGUAUGUAAAAUUUUACGGUGCCUGAAAAGGACAUCAAAAUCAUGAACGGUAAAUUCAAAACAGAUCAUAUGUACUUAUCCUCUGCUACAAUUGCACUAGGGGAUGCAUGUGAAGGUGGUGCACCAUGAUCCAAUCCCUCAUCCUCCAUGUUUUCUUCCUGCACGUUCGGGUCAAUGCCCAGAGAUGCAUCAGUACCAGUUGGUGCACCAUGAUCCCAUCUCUCAUCCUCCACGUUCUCAUCCUGCGGGUUAGAACGUGCGGCUAUACUAUUGAAAUAUAAUCACGCGUAUAGCCGCUAGGCUAUGCUCCGUGUUUCUUUAAAAAUUUUUAUUCAAAUUAAUCGUAUAGCCGGCCGGCCAUACUCGGUGUUUUUAAAUGUCUUUUCCAAUUAAUAGUAUAGCCGCACGGCUAUACUAUUUUUGGGUCUAUUUUUUAUAAAUAAAUAGUACACCCGCUCCCCUACUUUUAAACAUAAUAUAUUAAAAGAAUAUAGAACGGCUAUACGUGUUUUUAAAUUUUUCCUUAAAUUAAUAAUAUAGCCGCGCGGCUAUAUCGUUUAAUAUAUUAUAUUCAAAAAGUAUAGCCGCCCGGCUAUACUAGGGUCCCUAUUUUUUUAAAUUAAAAAAAAAUAAAUAAACAGUGGAAUGAUGUUUUUAAUCUUUUUUCUUUAAAUAAAAGGCCAAAUUACACUUUCUGGUUGUGUGAACUGUACUAUUCAUUGACUUUGCAUUUUCAGUCUCUGUUCUUGUAAUAUUGGAAAUAUUAGUUCUGUAGUUUUGUUCAUGUCAAAAUCUCAGGGAAGAUGGGCAAAUGUAAGAUGUUAAUUUUUAAUUUCACAUGUAACAGAAUUUCACCUCCAGCCGAUAUGUUAAACAAGUAAGUGGGUCCAAAUGUAAUGUGAGAAGUAGUUCUUCGAAUAAGGCUCAUGGUCACGGGACAAAGCGAUUAGCAAGAAACUAGUGAAGUGAGGUGACUCUUCUUCUUCAUUUCUAGGGCUGCUACAAUAACACACCAUCACAUUUAUCAACCAUAACAUAUAUAUAUAUAUAUAUAUAUAUAUAUAUAGAUAAACUAGUACAACGUGUGGCAGCCAAGUGAGAACCCUAUAUCCGUAGCUACAUCUUCUGCUAGCAUUACAAGAACUUAGAGCAUGUUGUUCUAGACCCAGCACUGAACACACCCACAAACCAGAAAAGCACACUAAUUAAGACUAAACCAAACACAAAUUAAGACCUAAUGAAAGAUUUCAAACAGAUCAUUAAAACCAGAUACAAGUAGCAGACCCUGGUGCAGCUAGCCAAACUGGUCUCUGAGUCAUGGUGUAAAUGGGACUGAGCCACCAGCAGAAGGAACAGCAGGGAUAGUGGGGAGGACUGGGACUGGAACACAGCCUCCAGGGAGAGUGCAGAGGCCUGAUGGUCCAAAGCUAACCCCAGUAACAAACCCUGGAGGGCCUGGGAAGAUGCCUCCUGCAGCUCCUCCAUAGAAGUUCUGAGGCUCAUCAACGCCCUCUCCAUUCUCAUCAUGACUCUUGAUCCGCCUUCCUCCUUCAACAUGCAAUGCAGCAACCACUAGGAUAGUGGUCAGGAUCAGCAUCACCUUAUUCACUCUCUCCAUGCUGACCUUUUGCUGCUUUGAGCUCUCUCUCUCUCUCUCUCUCUCUCUCUCUCUACAGUUUUGAGUCACACUCUAAAAUUUGUUACAGGGGUGAAGGAAGAUCAUGACAAACCCACCCUCCUUCUUAUAGUACAAAAGAUCUCCAUUUCAGGAUAAUCAAAAUAACCCUUUUCUCUUAAUUACCAUACAUGGAAUAGGGAUGCUUGCCUUGCUAAAUGCAGUGGUUUAACUUAUGGGACUUCAAUUAAUUCAAGGUCAUUUUGGAAAAUUCAAGUGACUGAUAUUUAACCAUGGUAAAAAUGACACUAACUAACCAUUUUUCAGUGAAGUUAUUAUUAGGUGUAGGUGGGGAGAUGCCAACUGACCAUCCCUCCUCCAUCCCUCUAGUGGGAUUUUAUGGCAUUGUUGUAGAAUUUAUGGUGGUACCUAACACAAACUGAGAUGGGUAAGAGCCCUUAAAUCCCAAGACAUUGGCAUAUUCCUUGCACUUUAUUACCUCUGCAGUUUAAUCUACUGACCUGCUUUAAUUCAUAAACCUACCACACUGAGAACAGAUGUGACUUGGCAGAAAGAGGGAAAAUUUUAAUAUUCAAUUUCACUGAAUUCAGUCUUUGACAAGUUGGGUUGGACCAACAAAUUAGUUUAGUUACUUUAGUACAAUUCUUUUGGUUACACAUGGUAUUAUUAAUUCAUUUGUUUUAAUUAUUUAUAUGAAGAUGUUGAUUGCCACAUGGUUGAAAGUUCAAACUUAAUGCAUAGGUUUGCGAUUGGAGUGUUUAUUAAAAAUUAAACACAAAAAGCUUACUAAUAAACAAGUUUAAUGAAUCAAUUUCAUACAAUUAUGUGUGUGUGACCAGCAAAACAAAGCUCCAAUUUGAUCACGGAGCCAAUAAAUCCCUAUAUAUGUGUUCUAGUUCACAACCUUGCAGUUGUUCCUGAUCUCACCUUGCCUUCCUGUGAGGACAUCAAUGGAGCCCAUUUUCACCAUGGCUGCUGCAAACUUAUUAGCCCAAGCUGCACCAAAUCUGGCAUUGUUCCUCACAAUCCCGGCUGUCGAACGGCUGGUAAGAAGAGUUUGAUCUGAUGUAAGCAGGCCAUGAUGGUUCUUCAAAUCAGUAUAGUACUUGUUGUCAAGCCUAUUUGGUGUAAGAACAUCAAGUGGCACCGUAACUCGAUCAUUGUUUGAUGAUCGAGGGCACUUCUUUUUCAAGUUUCGAGCAAAAAUGGGAUCCAUUGAAGGGUCUUGUGGAUGAGUAGCAUUGAAGAAAUACAAGCGAUCAGAGAAGGAAGAACAAUGUGACACGCCAAUAGAAUGUGCCCCAGAUAAUGUGACCAUUUCAUCCAAGCUAAGGCCUUUUCGGGCGAAACUAUCCUCAAGUUGCUUGGCGUUGAAGGAAGGUGGGGGGAGGUGCUGCGUAGGCUCAUCUUGGAGGGAAACUCUUCCAUCUCGCCGCCCCGAAGGCACGUCAUAAUUUAUCCCACCAACUUUGAGUGCACUGUCACGAGCAGCAAAUGCAAGGAUGUCAGCACAUGACACGGUUUUGGGGCAUUUAGCUUCAAUCUCGGCCUUGGCCUCAUCGAUCACUUCAAAGCCUCUCAAGCUCGGAUUGUUUGCUGGAUGUUCUUUUUCGGAUGGUUGUCCAGGAGUUGAAUCAAGUAGGAUAGAGGCAUCACAACCCUGAAACAAUAAAGAACAUAUAUGUUAGUUGUGAUUAAUUAUUAGUUCUAAUAUACUUAAUUAUAAAAUGUAGAAUAUUAUUCAUGCAUGUGAAUGAAGCUUACCCUAACAAAGCAAUCAUGGAAAUGCAUUCUGAUGAGGCCAGCAGCUAUGCCUGGAUUCUUUGCCACAGCUUUGUUCACAGCUUUUCUCACAAUUGCCUCUGCAGAAGGACAACUCCGUUGAUAGAAACCGACUUUCGGAGCUGCUGAUGCCAUGAAGACCACCAUAAACAUGGCCAAAAAGAAUAUCAAACUCAUUUUUAACGUUGCGGCACUCAUUUUCAACACUUAAAUUGGAUCAAAUGAAUAUUGUACUGAAAGAUAAAAUUAUAUGAAAAAAGAUGAGGAAGUGAGCUGUGGAGAGACGGAGAUGAUGGAAAUAGCUGGUCUUAAUUGCAUAUUUAUAGUUUAAUUAAGAAGAAUGGUGAAGUAUGGAUUUGGUAAAACGUGUGUAGCUAUAGCUAGCUGCAUAGCACAAACUUGACGCUGUCGAAGUUUGAACAGUUCCAUUUGAAACCUGCAUGGUUGGAACUUUCAAUGUUAAUAUUUUUUUUUUCUUUUUUUUGAAAGAUGUCAACUGGCAAUGAAGAGGAUGAUUAGGAAACUUCCCAAGCACCACUUGCAAAUCACAAAUAAUACUCAUAGUUAACACAAAGAUUAUAGCAAAAAGAAACAAGCUUGGUGAGAAAUUAAAAACCAUCAAAGAACUAGAUUUGGUGUUUGACCAAUGCUUCAAUCAAAUGAUAUCUUGUUGAAACGAGCAAAAGCAAAUAAAAUAUUUAUAUCCUGACUAAGUCAAUGGCAUUGCAUUGCAGGCCUCCCUUUCUGUUCAUUGGUGAUGACUAAGUAAGCCAAGCAACCCAGAAAACAAAACAAAUAUAUUUAAUAUAAAAAAAAGUUGGUAAGCGACCAAGCAAGUAUGACAAAGACAGCCAUGGCAUUAGAUUAGAUGUUAACCCUUCUUUUGUUUUGAGGGACACAUUCUUAUCAGAUUUAAAUUUCAAUGACACGAGCCUGGUACUGAAAAUGUUCACAUGCAUCAUAAACAUGAACUGAUUAAGCGAGUUUGAAUUGGACCAAGCCAUUUGAGUUCAGUCUCAGGAAUUGGACUCAUUCAUGCACAAAUAUUGUGUUGGUUGAAAUAUAAAAGAUUCCAAGGUGCUUCACGCCUGCCCUAUUGCAUUCGAUUUUGAUCAUCCUUUCUCGUACAUUAAAAAAAUCCUAGUUUAAACUACAUAUUUGUUUCUAUUGGCUCGUAAGAUGAAACCACACAUUUGUUUAUGUUGUUGUAAGUAGUAUGACUUAAAUUUUUUUAACUGGUUAUUUUGACUUAUGGAGGGUUAAUAACAGAACACAAAUAAUGAGACAUAGGAGAUUAGGAUAAUUACCAAGUUUAAUGAAAGGUUAUAAUUUGUUCAUUAAAAAAAAAACAUUGACUCGGUUAGUUGGUUUUUUUUUUUCCUUUCAAAUUUGUCACAAAAUUGAUUUGAUGGCUGACCAGUGACCACCACUGCUUCUCAGGAACACAAUCACAUGCCCACCAAACACAAUCUAAUAAGACUACUAAUCUUUGUUCCCAAACACAAAUGUUUGUGGCAUUGCCAAAAUUGUAGCAUAGUAAAUACCAAAUUGUAACAAGAAGAUAGUAAUUAUUUGUUUGUUUUUUUCUUUUUUUUUGCUACAAUUAAAAAUAAAAUUGCAUUGUUUGAGAAUUAAACUUAAAAUGGGAAAAAUCAGAGAAUCGGACGGUUCACCGCUCAUCAUCACAGGUACUUAUUCCCAUCAAAUCAUGAUUUCCCGCCUUAUUUUCAACACAGCCCAAUGUCUUUCCCGCCACCGCUUAAGCGAAACGACGUCGCGAGGCCAAGCGCCAAGCACCUGGUCCUGUUUCCCUCUCAAAGAAACGACGCCGUCAUGCUAAAAACCCCUUGUCCUGACAGAACAGAACCAAAUCCCCCAAAACACCCCUCUAAGAAAUCUCAAUGACCGCAAAAAACGCCCUACAGGAGAAGUCAUAAGGCUUAAUGUCCAGUCCUUUUUCGUCACAACAGAAAAAAUCAGUUUCCUUCAAGUCCCUCUUCGAGAGCCCUCGAAAAUCAUAAAUCUUUCACUCGCACUCUGGUUCAAAAACCUUUCUUCUCUAGUUUUUUCAUUUUCAUCGUUUUUGUUAUCCAAAGCAAACCCCUUCAAAUCCCUCUUUCUCUCUCUCUCUCUCUCAUCCUUAGUUCUGAAACCCUAAGUUUUCUUUCUCACUCUAUCUCUUUCUCUCUCUCUAUAUAUAUAUAUUUUCUUUUUGGUUAAUUUUAUCGGGGACUUGUCGCCGCCAAGCCCUAGGGUCCGAAACCAGAACCCUAAUUCACAUUACGAAACCGCAGAAGUUCGCAGAAGGCUAUCUCUGAAGUUUCAGAAAGGUGAGUUUCUUGUUCUUUUUUCGCUGCUUAUACAUGAAUUAAGUGGUUUUCGCAGUAUUUUUCUAUGUUUGGGGAAGGAAAUAGGAAAACCUAAUUUGUUCAUCAGUUGAAGAUUUAUGAACAGAAAAUUAAAGGGGGACGAUAACAAUGAUGCUCAGGGUUUUGCUAGAUUUUCUAAGACUGGCGAUGGCCAUAGAAUGCGAACUUACGCGAAACCCUAAUUUACAAUUUGGCUUUUUAGGGUUUUAUAGCUAAACUAUUUGAGUUUAUUUUUGAAUAUUGAGAAAGUGUGAAUUUUUUUUCUUAAUUUUUUUUUAAAAAUUUAAUUGGCAGAAAGUGAUUAGUUGGCUCUUUGUCUUAUGUAGAAAUUGUUCUUAAUGGCUGAUCAUCGAAAUGGAAAUAGCCAACCUCCUAAUGGAAAAACCAGCACUGGAGCAGGAAGUGCCUAUUCCAUUGAUGUGAAAAAAUUCAGUGAGAGAUUGAAGUUACUUUAUUCUCACUGGAAUGAACAUCGAUCUGAUUUGUGGGGUUCUUCUGAUGUUCUUGCAAUAGCAACACCGCCAGCAUCAGAGGAUUUGCGGUACCUUAAAUCUUCAGCAUUGAAUAUAUGGUUGGUAGGUUAUGAGUUUCCGGAGACGAUCAUGGUUUUCAUGAAGAAGCAGAUUCAUUUCUUGUGCAGCCAGAAGAAGGUGUCUUUGCUAGAAGUUGUAAAAAAGCCUGCCAAGGAAGCUGUGGGUGUAGAUGUUGUGAUGCAUGUGAAGGUAAAGAGUGAUGAUGGCAGUGGUUUGAUGGAUGCAAUUUUCCAUGCCAUUCGUGCUCAAUUGAAGGCUGAUGGCCAUGAUACUGCUGUUGUUGGACACAUAGCAAGGGAGGUCCCUGAGGGAAAUCUCUUGGAAUCAUGGUCUGAGAAGCUGAAGAGUGCAAAUUUUCAGCUAGGUGAUGUAACAAAUGGGUUGUCUGAAUUGUUUGCUGUUAAGGACAAUGAUGAGCUUGUGAAUGUCAAGAGAGCUGCUUUCUUGACUACUAAUGUCAUGAAUAAUAUCGUGGUUCCAAAGCUUGAGACUGUUAUUGAUGAGGAGAAGAAAGUCACCCAUUCUUCUUUUAUGGAUGAGACAGAGAAAGCUAUACUGGAACCCUCUAAAGCUGGAGCAAAGCUCAAGGCUGAGAAUGUUGACAUCUGUUACCCGCCGAUUUUUCAGAGUGGAGGACAGUUCGAUCUCAGACCCAGUGCUGCCAGCAAUGAUGAGUUGCUUUAUUAUGAUUCUGCUAGCGUGAUCAUAUGUGCAGUUGGGUCCCGCUACAAGAGUUACUGCUCAAAUGUUGCCAGGUCUUUUUUGAUUGAUGCUACUUCAUAUCAGAGCAAAGCAUAUGAAGUUCUUCUCAAGGCACAUGAUGCAGCCAUUGGCGAGUUGAAGCCUGGGAAAAAAGUCAGUGCUGCUUAUCAAGCAGCCAUUUCUGUGGUGAAGAAGGAGGCUCCUGAAUUUCCUGAAUUUGUAUCUAAUCUGACAAAAUCGGCUGGGACAGGUAUUGGACUUGAGUUCCGUGAGUCUGGGUUGAAUAUUAAUGCAAAGAAUGAACGGGUGGUUAAAGCAGGCAUGGUGUUUAAUGUGUCACUCGGUUUUCAGAACCUGCAGAGUGGUCGCAGUAAUCCAAAGAACCAGAACUUCUCUUUGUUGCUAGCGGACACCGUGGUGAUCAACAAUGACAAGCCGGAGGUGGUGACAAUUAAAAGUUCUAAGGCUCUUAAGGAUGUGGCAUACUCCUUUAAUGAAGAUGAAGAAGAACCUAAACCUAAAAAGGCGAAAGUUGAGGCUAAUGGGACGGAGGCAUUGAUGUCUAAGACAACCCUGAGGUCAGACAAUCAUGAGAUUUCAAAGGAGGAACUCCGCAGGCAGCAUCAGGCCGAACUUGCUCGUCAGAAAAAUGAAGAAACUGCUCGUAGACUUGCGGGUGCUGGAUCUGGGUCGGGUGACAAUCGUUCUGCAGCGAAGGCUUUAACGGAUUUAAUUGCCUACAAGAAUGUAAAUGAUCUCCCUCCUCCAAGAGAUCUGAUGAUUCAGAUUGACCAGAAGAACGAAGCUGUUCUGUUGCCUAUUUAUGGGAGUAUGAUCCCUUUUCAUGUUGCCACUAUAAGGACAGUUUCCAGCCAACAGGACACCAAUCGGAAUUGUUAUAUCAGAAUCAUCUUUAAUGUGCCCGGGACUCCUUUCAGUCCUCAUGAUGUAAACUCCUUGAAGAACCUUGGGUCUAUAUAUUUAAAGGAAGUUUCAUUUCGAUCCAAGGACCCAAGGCACAUAAGUGAAGUGGUACAGGUGAUUAAAAACCUGCGAAGGCAAGUUGUGGCCAGGGAGUCUGAGAGAGCUGAGAGGGCAACACUGGUUACUCAGGAGAAACUCCAACUAGCUGGUAACAGAUUUAAGCCAAUAAGAUUGUCUGACCUUUGGAUUCGACCUGUUUUUGGUGGCCGUGGAAGAAAGAUUCCUGGUACUCUUGAAGCUCAUGCGAACGGGUUUCGUUUUUCUACCACCAGGCAAGAUGAGCGUGUGGACGUAAUGUUUCCAAAUAUUAAGCAUGCUUUUUUCCAGCCAGCAGAGAAUGAGAUGAUCACUCUCCUCCACUUUCAUCUGCAUAAUCACAUUAUGGUGGGCACCAAGAAAACCAAAGACGUGCAAUUCUAUGUUGAGGUGAUGGAUGUAGUUCAGACCUUGGGAGGUGGAAAGAGGUCUGCCUAUGACCCAGAUGAGAUUGAAGAAGAACAACGGGAGAGGGAUAGGAAGAACAAAAUCAACAUGGAUUUUCAGAGCUUUGUGAAUCGGGUGAAUGAUCUUUGGGGGCAGCCUCAGUUUAAUGGCCUUGACCUUGAGUUUGAUCAACCUCUGAGAGAGCUUGGUUUCCAUGGUGUACCUUAUAAAUCCUCAGCGUUUAUUGUCCCUACUUCAACCUGCUUGGUUGAACUGAUAGAAACUCCUUUCCUUGUCGUCAGUCUAAGUGAGAUUGAAAUUGUGAAUCUGGAAAGAGUUGGGCUUGGACAGAAGAAUUUUGACAUGACAAUUGUAUUCAAGGAUUUCAAACGGGAUGUUCUUCGGAUUGACUCGAUCCCUUCCACAGCGCUUGAUGGCAUCAAGGAAUGGCUCGACACGACAGACCUCAAGUAUUAUGAGAGCAGGCUGAAUCUGAACUGGCGACAGAUUCUGAAGACAAUUACUGAUGACCCACAGAGCUUCAUUGAUGAUGGAGGUUGGGAAUUUUUGAAUUUGGAAGCAUCUGAUUCAGAAUCUGAUCACUCAGUGGAGUCAGACAAGGGUUACGAACCAUCUGAUGUGGAACCUGAAUCGGAAUCGGAGGAUGAUGCUUCUGAUAGUGAAUCGCUUGUGGAGUCAGAGGACGAGUCGGAGGAAGAUUCAGAAGCAGACUCAGAGGAAGAGUUGGGGAAGACAUGGGAAGAGUUGGAGAGAGAAGCUAGCAAUGCAGAUAGGGAGAAAGGGAACGAGUCAGACAGUGAGGAGGAUAGGAAGAGAAGGAAAAUGAAGGCUUUUGGGAAGUCUCGAGCCCCUCCAAGUAGUAGCAUCCCAAAGCGGACCAAGUUGAGAUAGAUUGUGCGAUUGUUUGUUUGUCUUAGCCGUUAUAUUGAAGUGGUUGCCUGACCUAGCUUGGAACUUUUAUUUUCUACUAGUUUGUUUUUAAGGAAUUUCCUCGUCAUUUUGGUCUUCCUAAAUAGAUUAUGUUGCAGACAAGACUUGACCUUUUGCUUGUAAAUUGAUAGCAUGAUUAGCAUCCUUGCUGGAAGUAAAAGCUUUAUCGUCUCUUUUUAUGGUUUGUAUUUCUGUAGAUUUUCGAUUGCCCCAUUUUGUUAUUGUAAUUCCGCAGUUACAAGUAUUUGAUUUGCCAAAAAGGGCUAAAAAAAACUCUUGUUUUUGCCGAAAUGCUUACAGUUGUUAUGUUGAUCCAAAAACACGGAGUAGUUAAUUAUAUACCUUUCUUUUGUCAGAUUAAUAGUUUUAACCAAUUUCUUUUUAACUGAAUUUAACUUCAGCGAGAAGGGCUUUUAACGGAUUUAAUUGAUGCCUACAACAAUUUAUGUAAAUAAUAAUCUCCCUCCUCCAACUCAAAGAGAGUUGUGAUGAUGAUUUGUAUUGACCCGAAGAAUGAAGCUUUUCUGUUGCCCAUAAUAUGGGAGUAUGAUCCCUUUUCAUGUUGCCACCAUAAGAAGAAAUAGUUUCCAGUCCAGUCAACAGGACAACAAUGGGAAAUGUUUUAUCAGAAUCAUCUUUAAUGUUGAUCAUGAUGCCAACUCUUGAAUUUGAAGCAUCUGAUUCUGAGCCUGAUCACUCUUGAGGAUUCAGAGGACGGCACGGGAGGAGUUGGUGAAGGAAGCAAGCAAUGCAGACAGGGAGAAAGGGAACGAGCUGGGCAGAGAGGAGGAGAGGGAGAGAAGGAAGAUGAAAGCUUUGGGCAGUCUCCAGCCCCUCCUAGUAGUAGCAACCGAAAGCGGUCUAAGUUGAGAUAGAUCAUGUGUGUUCUUUUUCCUUUUGGACUAAAUAGAUGAUGUUGGAGACAGGAACUUUUGCUUGUAAAUAAAUGAUCCACUGAGAGACAAACCCAAGUUUACUCAUUUGGCGCAUCUUCACCUGCAAGUAUCACAUUACCAAAAACAAAAUUCACCCGAGGAAUCAUAUAGCAACCAACAUCAGUGAGUGAAACCAAAGUAUGAUAAAAGGAUAUAUGUAAAACCCUUUAAUUUUGUUCUUUCCUAACAUCUUAUGUUGAAGGAAAAUGGUGAUCUUCCUAAUAUAAUUUCACCACCACUAAUUAAAUAAUGGGGUUUUAUUAUUUUUGGGUUCGACCCAUUCGAGACGCAAGUCUCUUAAUUACAAUCCCUUGCUUCAAGGGAAAACCCUUUGAUUCCAUCAUAAAGAAACAGAACGUGUGUGUUUGAUUUUGCAGCUGCUCCCAAGUCCAACCUCAGGAUGCCUACGUAUCCUUUGCAGGAAUCAAGCCACUCGUAGUUCAAAGAUUCAUGAUGAAUAAAUGACUCAUCACAAAACGAAGAAUUUGAAUGGGUUUAAUUGAGGAGUUUGAGUGAAUUUAGCUGAAUAAACCAGAGAUUCGAUAUGGAAAUAUGUUUGGGAUGGUUGCAUCUAGAUUGAAUCUCUAGAUUGCCUACGUACCCUUUUACAGGGAUCAAACCAACGUAGUUCGAAAUUGAUUUGUGUAAAGGUAGAUAUUUGAUUUUUUGGGGGAAUUUGGUUGAUGUAACCAGUGAUUCAAAUUGGUUGCGGUUGCGCCUAUUGAGAUGUUAGACUGCCUACGUACCCUUAACGGGGAUCAAACCGACGUAGUUCCAAAAUUCAGAAAUUAAUGGGUAAGUGUGGCCCAAUAAUUUAGAGUUGGUGUCUUUGAGACGAUUUGAAGAUUUUCAUAGGUAAAUGACCUAUGGGAAAAAUUGGAAAUUAAUGGGUAUGUAUGACCCAAUAAUUUAGAAUUUGUAUCUUUGAGAUAAUUUGGGGAUUUUCAUAGGUAGGUGACCUAUGAGAAAAUUUUGAAAUUAAUGGGUAAGUGUGGUCCACUAAUUGAGAAUUUGUGUUUGAGAUAUUUGAAUUUAAUCUCAUUGAAAUUUUCAUGAGUAGAUGACCCAUGAGAAAAAUUGGAAAUUAAUGGGUGAGUGUGGCCCAUUAAUUGAGAAUUUGUGUUUGAGAUAUUUGAAUUUAAUCUCAUUGAAAUUUUCAUGAGUAGAUGACCCAUGAGAAAAAUUGGAAAUUAAUGGGUGAGUGUGGCCCAUUAAUUGAGAAUUUCUUUUUGAGAGAUUUGAUUUUAAUCUCAAUGAAAUUUGUAUGGGUAGAUGACCCAUGGGGAAAAUUAGAUCUCUGUAAAUUUAAUGGGUAAUUAUUUGGAUUACCCAUUAAUUACUAUGGGCUUUUGAAAAUCAAUGGACAAUUAUUUUUGAUAGUCCAUUAUUUUAUUUCGGGCCUGUGAUAUUUUGACUGGCCCAUUUUUUUGGACAUGUGAAGAAGAGAGAAAAGAAGGAAAGAAGAGAGAGAGUUGAAAUAAAUCCAAAACACAAAAAAAAGUGGCUGACGCCACUUUUUAUUAUUUUUUUAUUUUUUUGUCUUUUGACUUCUUCUUUUUUUUUCUUUGAAUUUCUUCCCCCUUUUGAAACCAAGUGGCUGACGCCACUUUCCCAUUUUUUCUUACUCUUCUUCCAUUUUCUCUUUCGACAGGAGUCUUCCUUCUUUUUUGUUAUUUGCUGCUACUAUCUGCAGUAUCAGGCCGACCAACAGCCAACAAGGUUGUCUUCCUUUUCAAGCACAGCUUAUUUUUUAUUUGCUGUGAGAUUAAACCCCCAAUGAUUUUGUUUGUGGGUUUUGUACCCAAAUUGGAUUUGUGCUCUUGAGAACUCACUGAAAGAGUUUUAUGCCCAAAAAAAAUGGAUAUACCAUUCAGGGUAUUUGAUUGAGGGUUACACACCCAUGAUGGAUUUCGUAUCCAAGAUUCUUGAGGGUGAAAUGCCCAGGCUUUAUUUCAAGGGUGAAAACCAAUAUUUGCUUUGAGGGUGAAAACCCAUAUUUGUUUUCAGGGUGAAAUACCCAAAUUUUGUUUCUGGGGUGCAAAACCCAAACUUGUUUUGAGGGUGAAAACCCAUAUUUGUUUUCAGGGUAAAAAAAAAUAUUUGAACAUCCAAGAAAUUUUGAUUCAAGGUUGCCAAGGGUUGCCACCCUACAUGGAUUGCCAUCCAUUUGAUUGAUUAAAGGGUUGCCACCCAAAAAACGGAGGACCUCAAGAGAGGAGCCUUGAUUGCCUCUGUCAUAUUUCUUCAGCAUGGCUAUGCAUCCGCCAUGUUCCCCAAGCCUUGUUGUCUUUUUUUUGGGUAUCUCUUCACAGUCUGCCGUUGUGCUAUUUUUCUUUCUGCAGCAGUUUUCUUCUUCUGUCCUGUUCUGCUCCCUCCCUCUGUCCUCCUCUUUUUUUUUUUCUCCUUUAAUGCAAAAUAUUUAUACUAAAAACUGGAUAACCAGCUCCCCCAAAAAUAGGAGCCACUAAACUCUUUAGACCCCCACCUUUUUCCAAACUUCCCCCCACCUUUUUCCAAACUUCCCCCCACUUUCCAAUAUUUUGUGAUUUUUGUGAUUUUUUUAUUCCAACAGAUGCCCCCUCAAGCUUUGUGCGUGUGGCAUUUUUUUUUUUUUUACGCGUGCAAAGCUUGAGAUGCCUUUGACUAGCAUUAUAAGCUAACAUAUGUAUAUGUUUUUUUUUUUUACCUUUGAUUUCAGGUGAUGGAUGCUUAUGGAAAUCUUCACAAGGAACAUGCUUCCGAUGAAUAUGGUAGGGCCAUGGCCUUUGGUUCAGUAUUCUUUUGCUCUUGUAAUGUAGUUUUUCCACCAAGAACAAUUUUCAGAAUAAAGAUUUUGUCGGAUUUGCUUUUCUAUUUCACAGUUUAUACUCGUGCGAAGUUGGAGUUCUUUUGCGUAGUAUACAACAGUUUAAACACGUGCUAACACCAUCGGUGGACAAGAAUGAAUUCAUGAUAGUUUACGGCUGCGUCUAGCUUUUGGGCUAGCUUGCCUACGUACCCUGUGAAGGGAUCAAGCCGAACGUAGUUCACCCUCCUUGAAUUGAGGUAAUAAAGGGGGAUUUGGGGUCUUGUGACUGAAUCUAGCUUUUUAGAGACUAGACUGCCUACGUACCCCUUUUUUAGGGAUCAAGUCAACCGUAGUUCUUUGCUUGGGCCGCCCUUUCGGGUUUUCAACCCAAAAUUUUUUUUUUUUUUUUUUUUUUGGUGCUCUAAUUUUGCUUGGGCCGCCCUUUCGGGUUUUCAGCCCAACGAGCAUUUUUUAAUUUACCCUAACUUUUGCUUGAACAGCCCUUUUGGGUUUUCAGUCCAACGGGUCUCUUUUUUUUUUCUUUUUUUUUUUAACCAUCAGGCGUAAAAUUUCUUGACGAAUUUCCCGUUCACACAAGGAUAUAUGCACUUGCCUUCGGAGUUUGACAAUUCGUAGGCACCCUUGGAGAAAACCUUAGUAAUGACGUAGGGCCCCUCCCACUUGGGUUCAAACUUACCAUGCAUUUUCCUAGUAAUGACGAAGGGUCUUCGGACAGUUAAAACCAAGUCUCCAAUUGAGAAAGAUCUGAACUUAACUUUUCUGUUGAAUGCCCCUGCCACCUGAGCCUGAUAUAUUUCGAGCCUUUGUUGAGCCGCCAAUCUUUUCUCAUCGAGAGCUUCCAAUUCUGCCAGUCUCACAUUUGCGUUCUCGUCGGGGUUUGUUAGCUGUAAUGCUACCCUUAACGAUGGCAAUUGGACUUCUAAUGGUGGAACCGCCUCAGAACCAAACACCAAAUUGUACGGUGUACAUCCUGUUGAGUUGCGUAUGGUCGUCCUGUAAGCCCAUAAUGCUUCAGGGAGGCGUUCAUGCCAAUCUCUUUUGUUUCCUGAGACCAUCUUCUUUAGGAUAUUGCACAAUACUUUAUUGAAAGCUUCAGCUUGACCAUUUGACGACGGAUUGUAACUCGCGGAGAACGAGUGUUGAAACUUAUACUUCUCGCACAACUUGGUCAUGGACUUGCAUUUGAAAUACAAUGCAUUGUCAGAUAUAAUCUUCGAUGGAACCCCAUAACGGUAGAUGAUGUGGUUCCUUAUGAAGUUUGUAACAUCGUCUGCUCGUACCUCCUUUAAAGGAAUUGCUUCAGCCCAUUUAGAGAAGUAAUCAGUCGCGGCCAAGAUGUAUUGAUGUUGACGUGAUGACUUAGGCUUUAUCAUGCCAAUAACAUCUAAUCCCCAAGCUUCAAAUGGCCAAGACAAAGUUGUCGGAUGCAAUUGUUGGGGAGGUUGGUGAAUAAAGUCUCCAUGUAAUUGGCAAUCUUUACAUGUGGUUGCAAAUUUUAUUGAGUCUCGGACCAUUGUUGGCCAGUAAUAACCCAAUCUCUUUAGUUGGUUCGAAAGUUUUGGCCCAGCUUGAUGAGCACCACAAGUGCCAGCAUGAGUAUCAUGAAGGGCCUUAGUUGCAUCUUGUUUCGACAGACACCUUAACAACAUACCAUCAAAUGAUCUUUUGUACAAGGUAUCAUUUAAGUACAGAAAUCGAGUGACUCUGCGUCGGACUUCAGCCUUUUUCCUUGAGUCAUUUGGCAACUUGCCAAGUAGUAGAUACUCGAUUAUGGGAUGGCGCCAAUCAAGAUCAUCCGGUUCCUCCUCACAUUCGGAGGACGUAAUAACGUUUGAAUCCACAACUUCUUCAAUUCUCUCUAUAGCUGGGGGUAGCAAAUAACGUUCCCCAACGGUGACUUGGAUAUCCCUUUCGCUAGGUAGUGUUAACGAUGCAGCCAAAUUAGCUAGUGCAUCAGCUUUAUCAUUUUCCGACCUCGGGAUGUGACUAACAUGAAUGUCUUGAAACUGUGACAUGAGAUACUUCGCCCUUUCAUGGUAUGGGACGAGAGAAGCAUUUCUGACUGCAUAUUGACCAUUCAACUGUCUGACGGCCAACUGUGAAUCACCAUAUACUUGCAAACAAUCAAUAUGCAUCUCGAGGGCAAUUUCAAGGCCAAUGAUGAGUGCCUCGUAUUCUGCCACAUUAUUCAAACAUAAAGUUAGUAAGGAGAAUGAGUAUGGGAUUAAGCCCCCAGACGGCGUGAUGAAUAUUAAUCCUGCCCCAGCUCCGUUUCUUCUUGCUGCCCCAUCAAAAUAUAGUUGCCAUGUAAGUGAUUCUAUUGCGAACACCUCCUCAUUAGGCAAAUCUGCAGGUAACUCCAUGUUGUCGGGAGUAGGAUGAGCAGCCAAGAAAUCGGCAAGAGCUUGCCCUUUGAUCGCCUUUUGUGGCACAAAUUUUAUCUCAAACUCAGAAAGGAGGAGUGACCACUUGGCUAUUCGCCCAGAGAGCACAGGCUUGGACAUUAAAUAUCGGAGCGGAUCUGCCUUGGAAAUCAAGAUGACUCUAUGAGAGAGGAUGUAGUGUCGUAGCUUCUGGACAGCAAACACUAAUGCAAGGCAGACCUUUUCUAUAGGGGUGUAAUUUUGUUCUGCCCCUACGAGUGUUCUACUCAAGUAGUAGAGUGCAUUUUCCUUUCCAUCAUCAUUGUGUUGAGCGAGCAAUGCCCCCAACGAGCGUUCUAACGCUGCAAUAUACAAGAUUAAGGGCUUCCCUUUAAUUGGCGCCAUAAGAACUGGCGGAUUUAAUAGGUAUUGUUUAAUGCUUUCUAAGGCAUUUUGACAUGCUUGAUCCCAUACAAAUGGAACAUCCUUCUUCAUGAGCCUCGAGAAUGGUUGGCACCUUCCAGAAAGAUUUGAGAUGAACCGUCGUAUAUAGGCUAGUCUGCCUUGCAACCCUCGCAACUCCCUUAAAUUUUGAGGGGGAGGCAUUUCACGGAUUGCCUUGAUUUUUGAGGGAUCAAUUUCAAUUCCUCGAUGUCGGACAACGAAGCCAAGGAAUUUGCCUGAAGUUACCCCAAAUGCACACUUCAAGGGGUUCAUUUUCAACUGGUGCUUUCGGAGUCUAUCAAAAACUCGUUUUAAGUCACUCAAAUGAUGUUCCCUUUUCCUGGUUUUAACCACCAAAUCAUCAACGUAACACUCAAUAGUAUUGUGAAGCAUGUCAUUGAAAAUUGUUGUCAUAGCUCUUUGGUAAGUUGCCCCAGCAUUUUUCAACCCAAAAGGCAUCACAGUGUAGCAAUAUAUUCCUUUUGGAGUGCGGAAGGCAGUUUUUUAUUGAUCCUCUGGAGCCAUUUUUAUUUGGUUGUAACCUGAGAAUUCAUCCAUGAACGAUAGAGCACCAAAACCGGUUGUUGCAUCUACCAAUAAUUCUGUGAUUGGGAGCGGAAACUCAUCUUUUGGGCAUGCAUCAUUGACAUCUCUAUAGUCCACGCAUAUACGCAGUGCCCCAGUUUUUUUUAAGUACUGGAACAAUAUUGGACAACCAAGUGGGAUAGUGGACUUCUCGAAUAAAACCGGCAGCAAUAAGCUUGUCAAUCUCAAUUUCUAUUUGGAUUGUUAGCUCUGGCCGAAAACGGCGUGGCACUUGCUUCACCCAUCGAACCUCGUUAGGUAUCCCAAGUUUGUGAACUGCAACGUUUGGGUCUAACCCUGGCAUGUCUAGAUAACUCCAUGCAAAUACGUCUCGGUACUCUUGCAACAGUUGUGUGUAUUCUUCUAACUCUUGCGGCGUUAACGAAGCACUGACAAAGAUAGGUUUUGGGUCAUCAACUGUACCAAGAUUAAUUUCUUGCAGAUCAUCAAUUGUGGCUUGACCACCCUCCUCCAUUUGGGGUGGAGCUGGUUGGACUAUGUCAAUGAAUCCCUCGAUAUCUUGAGGAUCAUCAUCUUGGCCCACCGCUUCUUUGAAAGAGGUGCAAUUGACUUGGACAAGGUCAUCCUUUAUUUUCACCCUUUUGACCUUCUCGAUCACGGCUUUCUCUUGACUCCUAACCUUCCAUUUCCUUUUAUUAUGGACUUUCCCUUGUUGAGAAUUGGAAGGGUUUUCCAAGCGGUGAAAGACUGAGAUGCGGGAUGGCUGUCUGCUCCCUAAGCGUUUGAACACAGAGACGCGGAGCGGCCUUAUAUUCACCUCAUCUUCUCUAAACAUAGCUUGUUCCAUAUUAGUGAGUAUCUCGGACUCGGAAACUUCCAGCUGUGGCCUUCGAAGAAACACUUUGAGCACACCACUCUCAUUUUGAACUGUGAGGCCAGCAUUGCUUUUCUUUGUUUUACGGCCUCUAAGUUUUAUCUUUAAUGGAGUAAAUGUUGUUUCUGGCAAUGAUUCUUUUUUGUGAAGAACUAUACGUUUACUCAGGCCCUUGUUUUUGCCAAAAGUAGUCGAAAUGACCAAAUCGUCCCCUGGGAUAGACUGAUUGAUCUUACGAAGAGGACGAAUGUAGCUUGCCGUCAUCAGUGACUCCAUUGUUUGUUUCGAGGAGCUUGUUUCCUUUUCACUAGGCUCCUUUUUUGAAGUCUUGACAAUUAUCUUUGGCUUGGGAGCCUUUUGCAGUCGGGAUUUCUUCCACUUUUGAGAAUGAUGUACCACGAGGUUUUAGCUUCACUCGAAUUACGUUUGAAGGUUUGGGUACUUCUACCUUUUUUGCCUUUCCUGUUUCAACAGUCACUCUUUCCUCUUUAACAACCUUUGAUGGCUGUGUGAAUGAGAUACCUGGUGGACUGUAAAAUUUCACAUCAGAGUAAUUUACCUCUUCACCUCUGAACGGGUCCAUGUCAGCUGAAACGGUCUUGACUUCCCCAUCCAUCGAGUAUUUGAAGCACUGGUGAAGUGUGGAAGGGACUACUCCAUAUGUAUGGAGCCAUGGGUGUCCUAGGAGGACAUUGUAUGAAGUGUCAGCAUCGAUCACAUGGAAUAGGGCAUCUGAAUAUAGUUCCCCUAUUUCCAUUUGCAGUGCGAUAGAACCCAUGGCUUUUUGCCCAAGUUGAUUGAACCCUUGAAUAGUCAGCAUAGAUGGAGAUAAUUGUCGGGCACUCAUCCCUAUAGCUUGGAGUGUCUUUAAAGGGAUAAGAUUCACAGCCGAACCACAAUCUAACAAGAUUCGAUUGAUGAUCGUGCCUCCAACUUCGCCAGUGACAUAAAGAGGUCGAUUAUGGAAUUUGGAUCCAAGUAAGAAGUCAUCUUCACCGAAGGUAAUUGCUGCCAGACACGAUGCACAAAACUUCAAGGUUUCAGUUGUGUGGACGUCUACUGAUUUGAAACAUGAUUUGUACAAAUCCGGGCUCUUUAAAGCCAUUACAAGUGCUUCUCUAAGCUCUCUCGACAUUUGUAAAGCGUCAUAAACACUUAAAGGAGCGGGGAUGCGCUUAAGAUGAGCCCAGAUAUCAUACUUAAGUGCAUGUGAUUGUGAAGGCUCUUUUGUUUUACUAGUGUCGGGCUCAAGGUCUUUUGCUUUUGAAGAGGACGGUGGAACUUCCCUUGCAACAGCUUUUUCUGACAAGGAGACCUUAAUCUCUUUCGCCUUUGACUUCUUCUCGGUUUUAAAGGGAUCAGCUUCCUCAUUUUCUUGUUGUUUAUUAGCAGAUGGGAUGCUCCGACCGGAGCGGAGGUUAAUCUCAUCAACCUCUGUGUCAACCUCAUAUUCUCCCACAGAAACCAUAUUGCAUUGGAUAAUUUCUUCCUCAACCUCGGAUUCACUCGAGAAGAACUCAACUGGCAAGAAUUCAGUGAGUGUGACAGGGACCCUUGCGGGUUGCUCAUAUUCAUCCUCUUGAGGGAUAUGAACCUUCUUUUGCACCUUCUUCUUCUUCCUUUUAUUUUUCGAGGCUGGCAUGCCUCGAAUCUUGACAACAGAACGAUAAACAGAUUUGUGAUUGGGUGGGAAAUGUUUGGCCAUGUGCUUGGCUCUUUUAACAAAUGUCUUCCACCCCUCAGCAGAUUCGUCGGCCGAAGAAUCUUCCCAUACCUCUAGACUGGGUGCAGUCAUAAGCUCAUGAAGAGCGGGAAUUUGAAGAUCACUAAACCACGGUGCAUUUGGAUAGGCAUGCACAAUUGUACCCUCAUUGUCAGUAUUAAAACCUGCAAGUUUCACUCCGUCUAGUGGUGUAGUGGUAGGUGUGAGCUUUUCCUCUAUCAUAUUUGCCGCAGCUGAAUGAUGUUGGGGAGAAGAGUCUAUCACCAAGCCACCAUUGUUGAGGAGCUCUUGAAUUUUGUCUUUCAGGAUAUAACAAUCCUUGAGCGUAUGACUGAUGAGGCGAUGAUACCGAUAAUACCUAGGGUCAUUUGUCUUGUUAGCCUCAGCAGGACGCUUUGAUUCUGGCAAAGCAAUACCAUUGGAGGCCAAAAGUUGGUCAAAGAUUUCUUCCACAUCCUCAUCGUUGAAAGAAUAUUUAACCUCUUUGCGCUCUUUGAGAGUGAGCCUUUUGGGUGGGUCUUUGCUUUGGCCUUUGUCAUUUCUCUUUUCUGUUUUGACAAAAGUGGCCAAUGACUCUCCUUUUGCAGACUUCUUGUCAUUUUUCUUCUCCCCAAAUUGAAUUUUUUGGGUCGCGGACUUUUGACGAGCAAUUUGUCUUUCAACAUUGCUCGCCUUUGACACCAAGGCAUCAAAUGAUUGAGGUUCAGCAGUGGCAACAAAAGUCGCAAUAUCUGGUAUGAGGUUGUUGUAGCACAUUUGCACGGCUGAUUGCUCGGUAAUUUUCUCCGGGCAUUGAAGAUUGAGGCUUCUCCAUCUCAUUAUGAAGUCAUUAGCACUUUCCCCUGGCUUUUGGGUAGUUUAAGCUAGGUCCAUGAUCGAGACCUUCUUCUUUGAACUGACAAACUGUGCCAAAAAUGCUUUUUGCAUGUCGUCCCAUGUCAGGAUAGAACCUGGUGGCAGUUGUGUAUACCAAGUGAAAACUGACCCUUUUAGGGAUUGGACAAAUUGACGCACCAGAAGAGCGUCUGACUGAGAUGUCUCGCCACAUGCUGAGUAAAAAUGUGCCAAAUGUUCAUGGGGUGAGCUACUUAUGCCAUCAAAUUUAUCAAAUAUAGGCCGUUGAUAACCCUUCGGGAAUGAUAUGGCGUCAUAGUGAGAAGGGAAAGGUUUUCGAUACCCUUGAACAGGAGGUGCUAUAGACAAUUGGAACUCACGAAUUCCUUCAGCAAUUAACACCUUUAUGUCAUUUGGGGAAAUUGUGCUCGUAGAGCUUUCUGCUUUUUCCUCUUUUGUUUGUUGUUCUUGGGCGGUCGAUUCAUUUGUUUUGCUCAUGUCUUGCUCACCUAUGAUGUUUUUUCCUUUCAGCCGAGCGGAUAGUAACGCUAUUUCCGCGUCUUUUUCUGCCAACUUCUGCUGCAUUUCCCUUCGCAGGUCCUGCAUCAUUUCUUGGAUUAAAGGUAACUGGUCCUCAGUAUUAGAAGUACCAGUCAUCAUGACUUGCAUGCUUUCCACUCCCUCAUGAAGUUUGGCCCCUUGGGAUGAUAUACAAUCAUUCUCUUGAGUUUGAGAUACAGGAUCAUCAUAGAGAGGAUUCCAUUGCAAAUAAUCAUCCAAGGUUGAGCUUAGACUGGAUAACUCGGGAAUAAUCGUCCCAACCAUGUUUCGGGAUUUAGAACGAGUCAAUGGACCCACGUAGGUCCUCGACUGAUCUUGAGGUUUUGGGACUCCCCCUUGUGAUACGAGAAUCUGAUCCCUUGAAACAUCAGUUAUCUUCACCUUUUUCACGCGUUUCCUUUGUGGAUGAGGUAUGUUCACCACCUUCUUUUUCAUGACCGUGGCUCUGCUUUUACCCUUAGGAGAACAUGGGUAAACCUCUUGUAAUGUGGAUUCCACAACAUGGGCUCUAAGGCUUGAUGGAGGUUCGGCCUCUUGGACCUCGACGUUCUUCACGAAGUCGUCUUUUUGACCUUCAUCUCUAGCUUCGUUGAUGGAAGUCAUCAGAACAGAAUCUGUAGGAUAUAGGUUGACUGGAAUUGAUCCAAUCAUGAUUUGGACAAAUUGGGAAGUAUUUGUUCUCUUGGGAGUCGGCACAGCCAGGGUGGUUAAGGUGUUCUUGCCCUCAGUCAUUAUUGGGCUUGUCCCAGAAAGCUGGGAUAAGAUUGCCUCAAUAGACUCCUUUUUUGCUUCUUUCUUUCUUAAAGCACGCGCAGCCCUCUUUCUUCCAUUUCGGAGAGCGUUCUUGGACGCAGUUUUCUUCAAUUGGGUCUUCACGACCUUAGGAGUGACCUGAGGUCUGGCCCUUUGAAUGGGCUUUGGCACAGUGCACUUGAUGAGGCUCUCACCAACAAUGAAAGUCUUUUUGAACCCUACUCGUUUGGUGCACGCAUUCUUGGUAGUUUCAAUUUUGUGAAAGAAAAUCGUUACUUGUGGUGCCAUCGUAUCUGGUUUUGUUAACCUGUGAAAAACACAAAUAAAUAAAACAAACAUUAGUCACUCUAUGAUUGGAGAUGAAAAGGUAAAUGGGUCCCACCGGGCGUGCCAAAAAUUAUGUUGAAGGAAAAUGGUGAUCUUCCUAAUAUAAUUUCACCACCACUAAUUAAAUAAUGGGGUUUUAUUAUUUUUGGGUUCGACCCAUUCGAGACGCAAGUCUCUUAAUUACAAUCCCUUGCUUCAAGGGAAAACCCUUUGAUUCCAUCAUAAAGAAACAGAACGUGUGUGUUUGAUUUUGCAGCUGCUCCCAAGUCCAACCUCAGGAUGCCUACGUAUCCUUUGCAGGAAUCAAGCCACUCGUAGUUCAAAGAUUCAUGAUGAAUAAAUGACUCAUCACAAAACGAAGAAUUUGAAUGGGUUUAAUUGAGGAGUUUGAGUGAAUUUAGCUGAAUAAACCAGGGAUUCGAUAUGGAAAUAUGUUUGGGAUGGUUGCAUCUAGAUUGAAUCUCUAGAUUGCCUACGUACCCUUUUACAGGGAUCAAACCAACGUAGUUCGAAAUUGAUUUGUGUAAAGGUAGAUAUUUGAUUUUUUGGGGGAAUUUGGUUGAUGUAACCAGUGAUUCAAAUUGGUUGCGGUUGCGCCUAUUGAGAUGUUAGACUGCCUACGUACCCUUAACGGGGAUCAAACCGACGUAGUUCCAAAAUUCAGAAAUUAAUGGGUAAGUGUGGCCCAAUAAUUUAGAGUUGGUGUCUUUGAGACGAUUUGAAGAUUUUCAUAGGUAAAUGACCUAUGGGAAAAAUUGGAAAUUAAUGGGUAUGUAUGACCCAAUAAUUUAGAAUUUGUAUCUUUGAGAUAAUUUGGGGAUUUUCAUAGGUAGGUGACCUAUGAGAAAAUUUUGAAAUUAAUGGGUAAGUGUGGUCCACUAAUUGAGAAUUUGUGUUUGAGAUAUUUGAAUUUAAUCUCAUUGAAAUUUUCAUGAGUAGAUGACCCAUGAGAAAAAUUGGAAAUUAAUGGGUGAGUGUGGCCCAUUAAUUGAGAAUUUGUGUUUGAGAUAUUUGAAUUUAAUCUCAUUGAAAUUUUCAUGAGUAGAUGACCCAUGAGAAAAAUUGGAAAUUAAUGGGUGAGUGUGGCCCAUUAAUUGAGAAUUUCUUUUUGAGAGAUUUGAUUUUAAUCUCAAUGAAAUUUGUAUGGGUAGAUGACCCAUGGGGAAAAUUAGAUCUCUGUAAAUUUAAUGGGUAAUUAUUUGGAUUACCCAUUAAUUACUAUGGGCUUUUGAAAAUCAAUGGACAAUUAUUUUUGAUAGUCCAUUAUUUUAUUUCGGGCCUGUGAUAUUUUGACUGGCCCAUUUUUUUGGACAUGUGAAGAAGAGAGAAAAGAAGGAAAGAAGAGAGAGAGUUGAAAUAAAUCCAAAACACAAAAAAAAGUGGCUGACGCCACUUUUUAUUAUUUUUUUAUUUUUUUGUCUUUUGACUUCUUCUUUUUUUUUCUUUGAAUUUCUUCCCCCUUUUGAAACCAAGUGGCUGACGCCACUUUCCCAUUUUUUCUUACUCUUCUUCCAUUUUCUCUUUCGACAGGAGUCUUCCUUCUUUUUUGUUAUUUGCUGCUACUAUCUGCAGUAUCAGGCCGACCAACAGCCAACAAGGUUGUCUUCCUUUUCAAGCACAGCUUAUUUUUUAUUUGCUGUGAGAUUAAACCCCCAAUGAUUUUGUUUGUGGGUUUUGUACCCAAAUUGGAUUUGUGCUCUUGAGAACUCACUGAAAGAGUUUUAUGCCCAAAAAAAAUGGAUAUACCAUUCAGGGUAUUUGAUUGAGGGUUACACACCCAUGAUGGAUUUCGUAUCCAAGAUUCUUGAGGGUGAAAUGCCCAGGCUUUAUUUCAAGGGUGAAAACCAAUAUUUGCUUUGAGGGUGAAAACCCAUAUUUGUUUUCAGGGUGAAAUACCCAAAUUUUGUUUCUGGGGUGCAAAACCCAAACUUGUUUUGAGGGUGAAAACCCAUAUUUGUUUUCAGGGUAAAAAAAAAUAUUUGAACAUCCAAGAAAUUUUGAUUCAAGGUUGCCAAGGGUUGCCACCCUACAUGGAUUGCCAUCCAUUUGAUUGAUUAAAGGGUUGCCACCCAAAAAACGGAGGACCUCAAGAGAGGAGCCUUGAUUGCCUCUGUCAUAUUUCUUCAGCAUGGCUAUGCAUCCGCCAUGUUCCCCAAGCCUUGUUGUCUUUUUUUUGGGUAUCUCUUCACAGUCUGCCGUUGUGCUAUUUUUCUUUCUGCAGCAGUUUUCUUCUUCUGUCCUGUUCUGCUCCCUCCCUCUGUCCUCCUCUUUUUUUUUUUCUCCUUUAAUGCAAAAUAUUUAUACUAAAAACUGGAUAACCAGCUCCCCCAAAAAUAGGAGCCACUAAACUCUUUAGACCCCCACCUUUUUCCAAACUUCCCCCCACCUUUUUCCAAACUUCCCCCCACUUUCCAAUAUUUUGUGAUUUUUGUGAUUUUUUUAUUCCAACAUCUUACAAGAAAAAAAAGUUUGUUUUAACACGCAGAAGGAACAGAGACAACAAAAAAACACCCAUUUUGACUUUUUUCUUUUUGUUAACUCAUUACUCUUCUUGCGUAACAUCUUCAAAAUGGAACACCCCUAAUACUGGAGUUA
rnacentral:lncRNA from 1 species